rnacentral:lncRNA from 1 species
GGUUCCAGCCUAGGGGUUCUGUCAAGCCUCCGUCCCCGGUCUUCUCACGCGCUCACGCGCCACCACACACAAUGGUCGGAGGGUUAAAAAACCUCAUUCUUUCAAGAAAAUCGUAGGUAACCUCUUCCUUUUUCAUAAUAUUAUCAGUUUUUGCAAUAGAUCGAUUUGUAUACUUGUUGAAUAAAUAACAGAAAAAAAAACUCGAAUCACCUUUUUAAAAGAAACUGCUUGAACUUCUCUUUUAUGAAUAUGUGUAAGUAUCUUUUUAUUCUGUAAAAAUCCGGUCCUUUGUACAGAUUUGUAAAGAGGCCUUUAUAGCCUUCUAUGAACUGUUUACAUUUAGAAAGAAAUCUUUGAUUUCUUUUCCCUAUCCGUUUUCCUUUUCUGUUGUAUUUUCUUUCUCUUUUUGCAGGCAAUCGAGGAAAGGAGGCCACCAGCGUUGAUUCGGCCGUCGAUCACGGCGUGAUACUAGGUCGGAGUCACGGCGUUGAUUCGGGUCACUGCGAGACGAACGGACACGAGUCGAAGGGGCGUGACUCUUGGACUGAUUGCGGCGCGAAGCCUCUGGAAACCCUAGGGUUUCCAGAUUUAGUUUAGGCACUGGGCCUCACUGGUUUGGGUCUGGCUCGGGUAUUCGGGCUUGGGUGUAACCGGGUUUUGGGUAGUAACGGGUCUGCUGGGUUUAAGCUAAAUGGGUCAAUAAAUUGUAAUGGACUGUAAAUGAAAUUUGAGCUUUGUACAUGGACUAUAAUAAAUAAACAUUUAUUUAUUUAUUAUUCUUGGUUUUAAAGCCCGGGCAAAAAUGGGCUACUACAAAGUCGAUCCUUGUUUUUUUUAAAAAUGGUUUCAACAAUCAAUGUUGGAGAAUGGAGAAGAAAAUUUUUGGUUUUUAGUUUACAGAUCUGUGACGUUCAAAAUUGUUUUAUGAAAAGAAAGGUUAAAAACUAUAGAAGUGAAGGUAAUGAAGGCUUUCGAUUGGUGCAGGCGGUGUGAACAGAAAAUGCUAUCAACAACGAUUUUAACAGUCUAAUGAUUUAAAAACUUUUGAAUAGUUCGGUGACCAUUUUAUAACUUUUUAAAAUUAAGUGACUAAAACAUAAAUUUAAUUUUUUAUUUUGAAAAUAAUAAAAGAUCGAUAACCUUCCAAAUAUAUACAUUUUAUUUUACAGUUUGUAAUGGCCUUAUUAUCAUCUUUCUCCUAUUUCUUUCUCUAUUAGCUUCAACAUUUCUGAAACCUGUUGAAAAAAUAAAGAUAAAAAGAUAAAACAAAAAAGUAAAAAAAAAAUGAAAAAUGAAAUUAAAUAAUAAUAAAAAUAACCUCAAAAUAGUGGUGCAAAAGUGGAGAAUGUUGAUGUAGUUUUGCAUAUAUCUUCUUAAGUAGUUCUGUAAGUUGCUCCACUUGAUCUCCAAGAAGGUCCACCUAUUUCUCAAACAUUAAAUAAAUAAAUAAAAAUACUUAUUAGAAAAGGUUUUAGGGUAUUAAUUUGUGUUUUCAAUCAAAGUAGAUUUCAUUGAUUUAACUUUCGGUCCGAUUUCUUAAUCAAUGAUUGAAAUUUGAAGCCAAUCAAGAUAGUUAUGAACAAAUUGUUCUAGGUAAAGGUAUCCAUAAACUGGACCAAAUUAAGUUCCGUCUUCGGUUUAGUAAUUUGUUCAAACCCUUUGCAAUAUAACACGGGCACUCGAAUUCUGAAAAAUAACUCGAUUCUUGAUCAGAUAAUAAGGAAGAAGAAGAAGACGUUAAAAAGCACCUCAGCUUCAGCCAUUUGUAGAUUCUCACAUCUCCUUAUGAAAGCUUUCCUGUAAAGUGAUUCCUUUUGGAUGAGUGAGGCAAUGAGCUUAGCUACUAAAUUUACCUCACCCUCCAUUUCUUCUAACCUGCAAAAUCCGAACACAUCUAUGUUAUUUGGAUUUGAGUGUGACAUUUAAAUAUAUGUAUGAGUUUAAUUCGUGUAUGUUUAAUUUUUUAUUUUUCUAAAAUUUUUAAGUAUGUAAAGAGUUCUUAAAAGUAUACUUUUAUCACUGAAAUAUUUAUAUCUAACACUCACUCCGACCUAAAUUCGGAUAACAUAGUAUACUUUAAUCUAUUUUUGACCUAAAUCCGUAUAUGGAAAACGUAAAAAAAAUUAUUAUAUUAAUCUCAUACUAAAAUUAUAUCAAUAAACAAAAUCUUGAAAGAUCAUGAUCUCAAACGCUUCAUUUUUCUUAAAGUAUUUAUACUCGUUUCUAAUCAGAUGUAUUUUCAUAUGAUAUGAUCCUCAAAGGACCUUCCAAAUACAUAAAAACAUAAAAAUUCAACAUAUCGUAAAAGAUAUAUAUCCGUAUCCGAUACUUAUCGGAUUCCAAACAACAUACUAUCUCAGUAUGCAGUGAUCAGUUAAUUAUACUCUAUACUCAAGUGAUAAUAAUCAAAGAUCAGGAAGAUUUUUGAUCUAAAAGAUAGGACACAUAGCAAAUAAUUGCAGUUCAUAGGCAAAUUUAAGUACCUCAAAGAAUACCUUCCUAAUUCCAUACAUGAUUCGAACUCGAAACUCUUCAACAUUUGCGCUAUAUCCUGGAAGAAGGUUUCAAGAUAUUCAUCAAUGGAGGGAUUCCUGCAAUUUCUAGUGGUAAUAAUUGGAUCUAAAUUAUUUAUUGUUAUGCCUAACUGGGACCCUAACUCAUUCAAUGAUGCCUUGCCAUAAUCCAAUUGUAGUAAAGCUUUCUCAAGCUUGAUAUCUGCUGAAUUAGUACUGUUUCCAUCAUAGGUUAAAAACCCGGGACAAUGCUCAUGUUGGUCGAAAUUGAAUCUGGACAUGACGUGUUGAAGGCGGAUCUUCUGUUGCUUUGUUUCGGAACAGGCGGUUAGGAUUAGAGAUUCUUCGUCUUCGAAAAACUUGACUAGUUUAUCUAAUGUAUGUCUCAAAUUGUCGGCAGAGAUCGAGUUGUUCGGACUUUGGUCUCGAUUCCUCCGGUCAUCGGUUUCCUUUACAAUGCAACCUUGUUUCACUGCCUCAACAAUGACCAAUUGAAAAACAUCUUCCCUUAUGAGACUCUCGAGGCUAAAUGCAUAUAUUUUCAUAUGCAAUUCCUUGAUUAUAUCUGCUAGGAAAACCUUCAGAACGUCGUCCUUGAUCGACAUUGCCACAGUUUUGAAGACGUUAUCGUUGGCUUUGAUCUCUCGUAGUUUGUUUAAUGAGGAAUUGGAAGUGUUUAUAAUGUCUCUAAAGAUCUCACCAAAGACAAGCAAGCAAAUUUCCUCACUUAAACAACUUACAGACUCGAAAGUUUCUAUAUAUUCAUUCCAUUCCCGGAGUAUUUCCCGCAGGAGGAACGUGUAAAUGUCGUGCCAAAGUUCUCUAAAGAAGUAAUCAGGGUGAAUUAAUUCCUCUAGGUUCGUGUUUUCAGAAUAGAGUAACGGCACCGUACCCUCCGAAUGAUCUAAUCCGCUAUUUGCUUGGUGACUUUCAGGCGCCGUUGCCUUGGGGAACAAGGUAUCGUAUUUCGCACUUCCCAUUUCCUUGUUCCACUCGGUUUUCAUUUCCUGGAUAAAGUUUUCGUACAUACCUUCUUUAAUUAGGAAAUGCAUGUGAUGAUUAAGCAUCUCAGCAUGAAAUUCAUCCACCAAACUUUUGAAAAGAGUUAAUUGAAUGUCUUCCAUUAGCCGGGUUUGAAGAUUUGAAUCCUCCAUUUCUUGUUUCACAAGCUUUAUUUCGCUACAUGGAGCUUCAUUUCUUGUUUCAGGAACUGAGCUUUUGUUCACUUGUUCCCAUAUUUCUUCCAUACUGUGAGCACCGCAUUUCUUGAUAUCGGUUCUGUCAUCUGUAAACGGCCUUGUCUUGAGAGGCUUUUGCAGUUCACAAUCAUACUUAUUAUCAAAAAAAACAUCAUCUAUUUCAGGACUCGAGUUGAUUAAACUCUCCAAUCUCACCAUAAGUUCUUGAAUUCGUUGUUUCGGAUUGACGGAAUCCUUUUCUUUCCAUGUUGGUGGACUUGAUUUUUCUCCAAGAAGUUCCCGUGUCAACAAAUCGAGCUCCUCACUCUUUCCCCGGAUUAUAGACUCAUGAUUCUUUAUCAUCUUUACAACAUGGCUUCCAUGAUCAUUUCCGGAAUCCUCUUCUCCGUGUUGCUUGAUUAUACCCAAUUUCCCGAGAUCUUGACCCUCCGAAAAACGUCUAGCUUUCAGAAUUUCCUUCGGUUUCUUGACUUGAGCCUCAUCCGGAUUACUAACAAAGAGAAGCUCGUGGAUAAGGACAUUAAUCUCUCGAAUCACCUUGGAUAAAUGUUUCCGCAAGCCUAACGAGGCCUGCAACUCUUGUUUCUUCACUUCGUCUUCAAAAUUCUCUCGGAAACCUUUCAACAGAUCUUUAAUCACAACUGCAGAUAUAGAUCUCUCAAUGUUCCACAUCCAUUGAUGCUCGAUCGGCCCGAGUUCGGAUAAAAAAAUUGCAUUCUGCAUCUUACAAAAGGCAAGAUCUAAAGUCCCCUUCAAAAUCCCGAUAUCUGACCCCAUCUGCUCGAUUUUCUUAUUGUCGAUCCCUUGAUUUCUUUCUUCAUCUUGAAUCUGAUAAUUCGGCUCGAGCUGUUGUUGAAUGUUCCACACCUGCUGAUCAACCGAAUGCUUCAACUCACAAAAUUCGCCUUCUCGAUCCCCGGCUUCGAUGCUUGCUUGACUCCCAAGAAACAACUCAUCAAUGCCCUCAUUUUUCCUAUGUUCUUCAAGAUCAGCAUACAAUGAAUCCCUUUUCUUUUCACUCCUCUCCAAUGCCUUUUUAAGCUUCAAUUCAUUCCCUAAUCUCUCCGAUAACUCUUUAUCCUUAUCAGAAAUCGCGGAUUCGACUUCCUUAAGUCGACCUUGAAGCCGAUCCUUGAUCUCUGUCAAGUCGUCAAGCAAUAAUUCCUGGCUAGUUUCUAGAUCGUAAUUACCUCUUUCUUGUUGAACGAAUUUCAAACAACCUUCUAAUUGAAUCACCGCGAGUUGGUAGAAUUUCGAUAUUUCAUUCAAACGUUCGAUUACACCGGUUUUUGAUUUAACUUUCCGGUAUGCUUUGUCCAUUGAUUUGUGAAGAAUCUGCAUCAUUGUUGACUCGGUUAUGGAAACUUUGAUAUUACUAUUUGCACUAUCCACUUCGAUCAGAUUCAAAAUUUGCUCCAUUUGAGCAUAAAAAAUUUUCCUGGAAAAUUCAAGUAUUCGUUUAUUCUCGGGAAAAUCUAACAGAACUCAGUAGAAUAAGAAGUUGAUUAUGGGAUUUGUUAGAUACAUGCAAAAGAUUGUUUUGAAAGGAAUUAUAUUUCUUUUUUAUGACUUCAAUUAUUAAAAAAAAUAUAUAAAGUUAGUGAAUCGGAUUUUUAUAUUUACCCUAUUUAAAUGUUAGUUCUAAAUUUUAGUUAUUCACAUAAUCCUUUUCCAUAGGAAGGGGAUUAUAUAAGAUUUGAUUCAACAAUUCUAUCAUCUAAUAUAAUAAUAAAAAUCACUUAAAAUUAAACCUCAUGUGAUGACUCGAUGGUCCAGAGUGUUUACCGCCCCAGGUGUAGCUUGGUGCUCACUCCUGUUAAAAUCAUAAAAGCAGUUAAAAAAAUCGGUAUAAUAACAAAUUUAGCUAUCAACUUUUACAUAUUAUAUCAAUUUAGUCAUAAUUUUAAAAUUUUAACACUCAAAAUUUACAAAUCGUGUCAAUUUAACCAUUAUUCUAAAAAAUUUAAAGAAAUAUAUAAAAAUACAUAAAUAUUUAAAAAUACAUAUAAUAAUAAAAUUUAAAAUGUCAAUAUUAAAAAAAUUAGAAUUCUCAACAAUGGAAUAAACAAGUACAAAUUGAAAAUUUUUGUGUAUUAUUUUAGUUUCUACCACUUUGUCACUUUAAUACUUGAUUUUUUUUUACUCCAAUCAAUACUUAAAAAAGAUAUUUUUUGGAUGAUCAAAAUGAAAGUGACAUAAAAGUUGGGCGACCAAAAUGAAAGUAUAAACAUGAUAUGGCGUGUAUAGUUAACAGUUAUUAGAGAUUUAAUGCUUGGGUGAAUAAAAUGAAAUCGCCCUAAAAGUUGGGUGAUCAAAUUGCAAGGAUUUCAUUUUAAGUGACCAAAAUGAAAGCUCUCUAAAAGUUGGAAGACUAAAUAGGCGUUUUACCCUUUAAAAAAGAGAUAAAUUAGUAAAAAGAUCAUACGACACCGUUUAUGCUUUCCAGGGUAAUAUCGGUUUUAACCGGAUUCCCAAAUAAAAUCCCUCCCGCGUUUCGAUUGUCUCACUUGUUCCAACGUGAGCGAAUUCGCGAAUUAGGGUUUUUCUCUGAAAUAUUAAAAGAAAAAAAAAUCGAAGAUGAUCGAGGUGGUAUUGAACGACCGGCUAGGGAAGAAGGUGCGCGUGAAGUGCAACGACGACGACACGAUCGGAGACCUUAAGAAGCUGGUCGCGGCCCAAACUGGAACUCGGGCCGACAAGAUCCGUAUCCAGAAGUGGUAUACGGUUUACAAGGAUCAUAUUACCCUCAAAGAUUACGAGAUCCACGACGGUAUGGGCCUCGAGCUUUACUACAAUUAAAAUUUAAUUUAUGUAAGCUGCGUGGUCUUUGUUUGAACAAGCUUUAAAUUUUAUGUAUGAAUGUAAUAUAAUCGUGGAUAAUGGUUAAAAAAGAAUAUUAAUGGAGGAAAAUAAGUCUUGGAUUCGCUUGGCUCUUUUUAAUAGUGUUAAAUCCAUGAAUUCUUAUGUUUUAAUAUAUAUCUAUGUGUAUAUAAUACACACCCCUUUGGUUAUGGAUUAUGGAAAAUUGGGCACAAUGUUUUUGAGGGGGGAAAUUGAAAUCGGUAUUGUUGGCUAAGGUGGAAGCCUUGGGUAUUUGAGUAAUUGGGUUUGGAUUUCAUCAUCCAUUAUGUUUUGUAUUAGUUUGAAUUUACCUUGUAUAUUUGUGUUUCUACUUGUGAGUGUUACUGUAUUUGUUGUAGUAAAACUUUCAUAAAGAAAAUCUGAAAUUCAAAAAGAAAUUUGCAUCAAUUCCAUUCAUAUGAAAGAGUAUCUUAGAAUAUGAUAUGUAGAACGGAAUUUUAUUCUUUAAUGUUUAGAAUUUGGUGCUUGUUCAUGUAUUCUCAGUUAUUUCAUCACUGGGAAAAAAUUCAAGAAGAAAUUGUAUGGAAUGGUUACUUUUAACAUAUAUUACUUUUAUUCAAUUAUAUUAUAUAUAACAUAAUUGUUAAUGAAGUGUUGGCAUUGUUGACAAAAGCAAAAGCUUUGAGUCCAUAUGAAAAUUAUGUUCAGGAAUUAGUUGAGUUAGUUUGAAUCAAGUUAUUUAGUUUAGUGAUUAUAAUUAUUGAUUCUAAUUAAAGCUGUGGAUAUAGUUACUGAGUUGUAACUUCAAAAAUAUAAAAAGUUAUGAUAUUGGAACAUGUUUUUUCAUUCUGUGUUAUUUUUUAUUUUUCUUUCAUGUUAUGUCAAAAAUUAUUGUACUUAGAGCCAAUUGAGUUUAGUUCAAUCGGUAUGGCCAUUGUUGUCUAUGUAGGAGGACAUGGGGUUUGAGUAUCAAUCGGGUAAUUUUAAGCAUUGUGUCAAAAAAAAAGCAGAUAUGAUCAGAAUAUCUAAUGAGAUUGUUCAAAAAAAAUUUAUCAUGCGUAUAUUUUUUAGCUUGUUUCACAUAAACUUGGACUUUCAAGGUUUGAAGACCAAACGUUAUUAUUCUAUCUAUUAUUUUCAACAGGAUACAAUUAGUAUUAAAAAAGAAUAGGAAAACUAAAACUCUAUUGAAAAAUUUGAGAGUACGUGCAAACAAAUUGUUUAUUGCUAAGGUGUUCUUAUGUGAUUCAAAUUCAUAUACAGACAAUGUCUCUUUGUUGAAGUGUUUCCCAUAAUGCAUCUGAUUAGAUACUUUUUUUUCUUGGUCAAAUCGAUACAGUUGUUUUUGACACAAUACAAUUACUUGUUAUACAAGUCAAAUUUAUGUAAAUAUUUGUUUUAAAAUAAGAUUUAAUAUGUAAAAUUUUAUGAAUAGAAUUUUCAAAUCUAAUUGACUUUAUCGUAAUUUAAUUGACAUUAUUAUUAUUGCAACAAUUAGGAAGGCAUUAAAUUAAGUGUGUUUGAGUAUAUAAAAUCGGUUUGAUGGUUGAAUUGGUACAUUAUUAUUUACCUGAAUCAAAUAAUAAGGCUUUUCCAAAAUUCUUGAAGUGUAAAUGAACCAUUAAAUUUUUAGGCAUUUAAAAUUACAUUAUGGAGCGCCAGAUGGUGAAAAUAAUAUCUGCAAAUUUAGAUUUUCUUUCAAAGUGAUAAGACAUGUUUUCUUUUUAAUUUCUACAAUUAAUUUUAAUAUUUAUAUAGUUCAUUUUUUUAUUUAUUAUUAUUCACAAUAAACUAAUUUUUUAUUAGACCAAUAAUUUAUUUUUCUAAAACCUAUUCAAGGAUGGAAUUAGUCAACAAGCGUGAUAAAUCCAGUCCAUGUACGUCGUAGAAUAUUCACUUUCGGCCUACCCUACCAAAAUGGGCUAAUUGGGUUUCAAAAUUUUUUGGGCUUCGAUAAAAUAUCUAAGCAAGGGUUAAACUCCUUGCUCAGCUGAUUUGGCCUUUGAAUUAUUAUUUAAAAUUUAUUUUUAGAAAGUACAAAUAUUAUUUUUUUUGAAAAACAAACAAAAGGAUUAGAAUUAACUUUUUUUUUAAUAAUUUCAUUAUAGGUUUUGGUUAUAUUUGCUAUUUUUGGACACAAUGCAUUAAACUACUCAUAGUCCCUACCCAACCCUUGAAUAAGAAAAUAAUAUGCUUCAGUGUAUUCGAACUCACAUCAUCUUGUAUUGACAACAAUGUUCAUGCUAAUCGAGUUAAGAUUUAAUUGACUUAGAACCAACUAAAUUAAAUAAAAGGAAUCUCUCCAAACAAUUGCAAUCCUUCUUCCCUGUCAAAAGCUAUUUUGGCUAUUUGGUCAACUUCUCUAUUUUUUUGUCUAGGGACAUGUUCUAGCAUCCAAUUCCUCACAUUCUUAUGAUUUGAUGUAUUCGACUGAUUAACACUGAGCUUGAAGUCUUCAAAAUAGAUUCUUGAAUAGCCACAAUAACUUCCAUGUUUUUCGUCUGCACCAACACUCUAUCUCAAUGUCUGUUGUGCAACAGUGUCAAGCCAUCUAAAAUAUCUCAUAAUUCAACAUCGAAAAUUAAAUAUUUUCCCGAACGUCAGUUAAAACCAAGAAUUCACUCUCCAUGCUAACCCUUCAAAAUUCUUCCUGCAGUAGCAUGCCCUAAAUCCACCUUAACAGCAUUAUCAAAUCUUAUUCGUAUUGAACUACCUCUCCAAAUGGACUCCCCCCUCACAACUUGCCUCGCAACUUGUGAAUAGAAAAAUACUAUUUUGUCCAGCUAUAUGAACCUUUGAUAAUUUAUUCUACACUCCACAGUACUUUCUAAAAAAUGUAGGUAUUCUUAUUCUUUCAUAUGUACCAUGGAAUUAAACAAAAAAACACAAUCAAUUGACUCCUCUCUAAUAAAUCUUUUAAACGAUUCUCCACGGAAAAGAAGCAUCCAUGCUCCUCAACCGGAAUUAUACGAGACUUAACAAAAAAAACAAAGUAAAAGAAAGACAAACUCUUUCUUUAAUAAUAAAUAAUAAAUUUGUUCUUGUUUUAAAAAGGACAAAUUAAUAAAAUCGGUGAUACGGCAUCGUUUAAAGAAACAAAAAGGCAAAAGUAGUCAACGGGUAAUCUUUGGCUUUAAAAUGCCCCCCACGCUUCAAUUUUCUCUUAUUUCCAGGGUUAACAAAUUUGGGGAUUAGGGUUUUCUCUGAAAUAGUCUUUUGAAAAAAAAUCGAAGAUGAUCGAGGUGGUGUUGAACGAUCGGCUAGGGAAGAAAGUGCGCGUGAAGUGCAACGACGACGACACGAUCGGAGACCUUAAGAAGCUGGUCGCGGCCCAAACUGGAACUCGAGCAGACAAGAUCCGUAUCCAGAAGUGGUACACGGUUUACAAGGAUCAUAUUACCCUCAAAGAUUACGAAAUCCACGACGGUAUGGGUCUCGAACUUUACUACAAUUAAAAAAAAAUUAUUUAUGUAAUCCGUGUGGUCUUUGUUUGAACAAGCUCUAAAUUUUAUAUAUGAAUGUAAUAUAAUCGUGGAUGAUGGUAUUUACUUUUCUAAGGAUUAUCAAUAGAAGAAAAUAAGUUCAUAGAUUUGGAUGUUCAAAAUAGUGUUAAAUUCACUUAUGUUGUACCUUAUAUUUUCACCUUUGGUUAUGGAUUAUGGAAAAAUGGGCAUAAUUAGGGAUUAGAGGAGCAAACCGUUAAUUCGAUCGGUUCUUCUUAACUUAAUCAAUUUAACCGAUCAUCACGUGGAAUAAUCAAACCGGUGAACUGAUUUAUUUAAAAUAAUGAAAAAUAUAUUCAACUGCCUUAUAUAUUAUAAAAUAUGAAUAUAUUUAAAAUAAUUAAAAAAUAUGAAAUUGAUGACUACUGAAUUGCUGAAAGAGGAUCUUAGAAUAUGAUAUUUAAAAUGGAAUUUGAUUCUGAGAAUAUGAUCAUUAGAAUAGGAUUUGAUUCUUUAAUGUUUGGAAUUUAAUUCUCAAAUAUGAUAAUUAGAAUAGAAUUUGAUUCUUUGAUAAUUGGAAUUUGAUUCUCAUUUAGAAUGGAACAUGUGUUCUUGGUUUUUUCAUCAACAGAGAAAAUUUUGUACGGAAUAGUUAUUUUUUUGAAUAUAUUAUUUUCAUUCAAAGAUUCGAUUCUGGAGAAAAAUUCAAUUAUUGGGACAUAUUUGUGUUAUUUUUUCAUGUUAUGUUCAAAAUUAUCCUACCUUAAUGGAUAUAUCAGACAUUGGAUUUUAAAUAUAUUAUUAUUAUUAUUAUUAUUAUUAUUAUUAUUAUCAACCCGAUACAGUUACACGAUAUUAAUAUAAUACUAAAUAAUUAAAAUGUGAUAAUACAAACAAUUUGUUUGUUACUAAGGUGUUUUUAUAUGAUUUUAGUAUAAAUUUAUACACUACCAUAUUAAAUGCAAUAUGGAGUGAAAAAUUUUUGAGAUAACCGAGUUCACAAGUUUUAUUUUAUUAUCUUAAUUUGAUUUGAAAUGUCAAAUUAAAAUAUUAUUACAGUAUAAUUAAUUUCAUAUUAGAGCUUUUAAUAUGAUAAACUUGAAUCAGUUAUUUAUUUAGGUUUUCAAAAUUAUUAUUUUAGAAAAAAUUAUAUAUAUAUUUUAAAUUUUUUAAAAAUAUAUAAAAUUUGAAAUUUUUAUAAAUAUUUUAAAUUUUUUUGUAAUUUUUGUUGAGCGAGAUUAAUUUGUUUAUUUUCAAAAUUGACUGAAACCAAAAGGGUAUUUGCACUAGUUUGUUAUUCAAAUUAUUCGAAUUGUAAAAUUCACCUCAACUUGAACUCGAAUCAAGUUAUUCAAGUUGACUUGAAUAAAUCGAAUAACACUAUUCGAUUAACUCAAAAUUUGAAUUUUCUUUCUAUUUUUUUAAAUUGAAUCGAGUUUUGCUCACUCUAAUUUCUAUUUUUUUCGAAUUACAUUAUAUGAAUAUGGUAUAAAUGAACUAUUAUUAAACUUUCACUUUUUUUAAAAAGAGAUAGAACAUUAUGGAACACCAAAUGGUAAAAAUAAUCUUUGUAAAAUUUAGAUAUUUUUUUCAAAUCGUUUAGUUUUUUUAUACAUUUUAUGUGCGUCAUUCUAUUGACGAAGGUCGUUUGUAAAUACAUUGGACAUGUAUAGGUUGUGGUAGCUACGGAAUAUCCGUUGGUAAGGGCCACUGUCACUUCAGUUUUGUAAGAUAGCCAUCCGUUUCUUAUCCGUGUGGUAGCCAAAAGGGUAUAAUUAUCAAAGAAAUUAUUGUCAAUAAAAAUACUUUUUACUGACAGAAUAUUAGUCGAGUUUAGACUUUACAAGCCAAGUUAGAAGAUUGACGAGUAUCCUAUAAAAAAAUAAUAAAACAUGUCAAUUUUUAAAAAUUACUUGUAGAAUAAAAUAUACCAAAUACUCACCAAUUUUCUUUACAUAAUAAAGGAUGAGAAUUGCAUUGUAGCUUAAUACAUGAAACCCUACCAAACAAUAAAAAAAUGGACACAUAUUUUUAAUUUCAUUUUGAUUGGAUGGUAAGGAAAGAAAAUUAACAACAAAAAAGGGGACCUCUACAUGAUUUGGUAUUCGAUUCAACCUCUCAAUAGUUCAUGGUAAUGGUAUGUGAGCUUUCAAUAGAUUGGGAUGACUAAGCCAGUGUGAUUCGAGGAUUUUCUGGUUUCUUUUCUUGCUCAUGGCAUUGCUAUGUGAGCUUUCGAUUGAUCGAGAUGAUUAAGACGGCAUGUUCCGAGGAGGGUUUCCGGUAACUCCUCUUGUGUAUUACCCUGAAGUAGUAGUUUGGAUCAUAACCAAAGUCAUUAAGCAAAUAUAUUGUACUCGGACUUGAGUACAAGUGUUAGAUACGAGUAUGUGUUUAACUCAAGUAUGUUCAACUUUUUUCUAACUUCAUUAAAAAUGAAGAAUCGGAGCAAACAUAGAAGCAACUUACUUAAAAUAAUAACAUGAUGCAAGUUAAUUUUCUCGUUUCUCUUUCGUUACUUGCAACUCAAGGAAAGUUAACAUUUUUGACACUUUAAGAGAAGUCUUACCUGUAUUAUAAAUGCCAUUUCUACGACCAAAUUGUUGAGAUAUCCGAGGACAAGAUUGGCUACACCCUGAGCCACCGUCGAAGACCCAACAUCUAUGUCAGCCUGAAAUUUAAACUCGUUUCGGUGAUCAGCAUAUAGUAACACGAUAAUGAAUCGAAAAAUCACUAAAAUGAAAAUAUCAGAAAGUCAAAGAAUAACACAAUCAUCAUUCGCAAUUGUACUUGGUUUUGAGGAUUCGAGAAUCUACCUCCAAGUAAUUUUUCCCACGGAAAUAAUGAGUAUUGAGAGCUUGACCGAGUAAGCAAGCUUUCUUUCCAACACUUUGUUUGACUAUCCAUGAUCCCUGAAGAAAUGGAUUAUUUGGUAAAACAUAGUGUAAAUGAGCUUGAGCUCAACAUAAAGUUUGAGAAGUGUUCUAAUGCUCGAGUCGAGUAAUUCUCAAGCCUAAUCAAGUUAAUAUUGAAAACUUUCAAUUCAAGCUUCAACUUGAGAACACUUAAUCGAGCUCAAAGUCAAGGAUGAGAAUCAAACUCAUCUUUACUAAACAAAUGAGCCUAAUUGAGCAAGCUCAAGUAAUUCAAUCUGUUUCUUGCCUGAGUUUAAGUCGGGAAAGGAGCCUCGAUUUUGAGUAAAGCUUGCGCUUCUUAUAGUUUGAUUUGGGCUCAGCUCGAUUAUACUUCAAAAAAGAAAAAUGCCUGCUAUAGAUUUGCAUACCUUAGAAAUGUAUGGUAUGAGCUUAAAUCUUGAGUUUCUAUAGGCUUCAUCUCCAUUGACGAACUUGUACAGCAAUGGGUGAUCUUCAAUGGGAGUUUUUAUCAUGUAGUACAGUGCUAAUGUAUAUGUCGGUGAACCAGGAAUCUGACUCAUAAUAAUUGAGAGUAUCUAAUGUGAUUAUUGACAAAAAAAAAACCAUAGAAAUAAUAAAGAAAUGUAUAAAACGUAACACACCUGCAUAUUGAUGAUAAAGAAAAAUUCUGGUCCACCGCGUUCAGCGUAUUUCUGCAUGAAUGUAUAUCAAUGAAGUUUAUUUUUCGAUCAAUGAUUUGUAUCUAAUGCAUAGUUUUUCUUUGUUUUGCAUAGAUGAGUAGUAACAUGGAUCAGAUUUUAUAAAUCGGAACGUAAAGCACAAAAUUAUAGUCCAAACCUGAACAAUACCACCAACUCGACUGCCUAAAUCAUCUUCUCGUUUGUCAGAUAUUAGCCAGUCUGCCCCAACCAUUUGCAUCGACGUUCCAUUUGCUUUAAUCUACCACAAAGAAUACAAAUUUAGAACAUAGAUUGAAGCUAAUUUACAUUUCAUGGAUUUGAAAAGCAAGUAACCAUAACUUUCGAAGCCAUUGAAUGUAUUAUGAAUAGCUUUAAAUUCUAACUUUACAAGCUGAGUAAUGCAGGCUGAACGGUUGAGCUAUAUAUUCGUCCGACACAGGUAUGUUGAAUGUUUUCCAAGUUUUAUUUAAUGCAUUUGGAAACUUCAAGAAAAAUGAAGAGUCGGUAACAUGUAUGCAUAUAUGUAUAAAUGCAUGCAUGCUGGCAUAUCAUAUGCAUGUAAAAAUGUAUGCUGUCGAGCAUGGAAAUUUUAAAUAACCUAUAUACAUUUUGAAAAUGAAAUUGAAGUGAAUGGAUACCUUUCUGUUGUCUUUCAGGUAAGUUUUACUGCGUAUCAAAAAUGAAGAAGGGUCUCCGGCUGACCAACUGCAUGGUGAAGUGAAGGUUGGGUCCUUUUGGAGAGAGGUUCCGUAGGAGAAGACUACGCUGUCUUCCCGAGCCACCUCUUGUAAUUCUGUGUAACCUUUCUUUUGAGCUGCAGCAUGAAUAAUAGAUUAGAAACAGCUAAGAUGCAUUCGAUCCAUCAAUUAUCUCAAUAACUUUGGUUAGCAUAAUCGAACUCACUUGCAAGACCAUGCAAUUUUCUCACUAGACCAGCUGCUGAUGUUAUUUUUGGCUGUGUAUUUUCUGCAUGUUAGAUUAUGAGAAAAAGCUAAAAACACAGUUAAUAAAUUGUAUGAACUCAAUACAAAUCCAAAGAUCGGAAAUGUCUCUUCGAUAUAAAAUUCCUUCGCCACAUGAUUCAUAACAAUUACUUGAAAAACAAAGAUAAAUCGGGGAACAAAGUACCGGAGAACUUGAUUCAGGAGACCAGUCACUCUCCAAGCGAUCAUAAUCCAAGAAUUCAUCUGCUUCAGGAACAUCAAAGAACUCAUCCGGUUCUUGAUUCAGACGCAAUAGACUUACACGCCCGGAUGGUGGUUUUGCUGCCUCAACCUCCAUUAGAACAUCCUCCUCAAUCUUUAUUGUCUCUUCGGGGCUUUGAGUAUCAAUCUUAAUAUCCUCUUUUUCUAAUUGAGGCAAGUGUGCAUCACUCGUCCACUUCAUGGACAAGCAUUCAGGAGGAUAAUUUCCUUGUUUUGCUUUGAACAGCUCCCAUAAGGCUGCAAAUCAGUAAGUUCAAUAAAAUAUUUUACAUCAGUGAAAAAGGAAACUAGCUGGAAUGAAGUUGAAUUAUUAUUAAUGAGCAGAGAGGCACCUGCAACUCUCUCAAGCAUACGAAUCGUCAAAGAUCUAGCAGCCGGAGUUCGGAGAUAAAAUUUCCAGAACUUCCAAUCUAUAGCAAGCAUGUGUUUCACAAGUGACUGUUUUCCGUUGUUCACCGGAGUGAUAACAUAUCCCCCACCUAUGUAUUUAUAAGGAAAAAUUUAAAAUUCGAGUAAAUAUGCAAACCAUAUAAGUAGAGUCAUGUUUUGGAACAAGGAAUUCAGAGAGGGAUAUAAUGAAAUCAGGGCAAUGAGUGGAAAAAUGCAUGUGGAGGUUUAUAUUGUUUUAUCAUUCAAAUGGUGAUUCUGUAGGUUCGAUUGGAAAACUUAUUCAAAGGCAUUAAUUAGAGGAGAAUGAACUUCUAAGUUCCUAAUGUAAAACAUGCAUUACUUUUUAGACGAGCACGGACAUAGCCAUUUUGAGGUGGACACUUCUUGUGAGACGCGGAGUGGUAAAGAAUCACUGCAACAAAAAAAAAAAAAAAGAUAUGGGAUGUUAAAGCUUGAGAAUAAUAUUUCCAAAACUUCAUGCGUUUUGGUUAGACUAUAGUACCGUAUGUGCCAUCAUCCUCUCGUCUCCAAUAGCGUUGAAGUAAUAAAUCUCUUCGUUUCAUUCCCCUGUAACAACUCUGAUCAAUAAGAAAUCUAAAAUGUGAAUUAGGUUCAAAGAAGGCAUAGAAUCUAACCAUGGUAGCCAGUCGCUAUAUAACUUCUUGUGAAUGAUAUCCGUAUGACCAUCAACGUGCUCGACCACACUGCCAUGGUAGAGGCAGAAAUCCCAUCUGCAAGACAAUCGAAUAUUUAACAUCUGGUUCAUAUAUAUAUAUAUAUAUAUGAAUGUAUAUAUUCAUGAUGAUGGAACUUGAAUGGAAAGUAAAUUUGCAGCAAUCAUACUCUGAUCUUGAGGGACCAAGAGACAUGACAACACGGAAAAUUGCCUCUGAGGUCCCAUCAACCACACCGACAGCCAUUAUUGCUGGAAUAUCAUUCCAAUGCUGAGAACAAGAAGUUUCUUCAGCCAAACAAAAACAAAAAAAGAUUGAGAAUAGCAUUCAUGAUUAAUGUCCCAAGAGCAACCUACCCAUCCACGAGUAUUCUUGUCUUUUGAUUCUUUGAAAAGCCGUAACCCUGUGUUAGAAACACAAUGUCAAUGAUGUGUCGCCUUUAUGAACUUGAAUCAUGGUUUGAACUUAAUUUCGUACCGUUCUGACAACCAAAUAUUUUCCAAGGUGAGGGUGCAACAACAUCGGAUGUCAUUGCCUCAGAAUGAACAGAUGAGUGGAAAGGCCAAUGGACAGAGUCCUUGCUGUGUGUUCUCUUUGAAUUAGUCAAUCUGUUUGUAGAGGAAAACGCCAUUUAAAAUAUAUACAAACACUAACACCCAAGUCCUAAUAAUAUAGCUAAAUAAGGCAAAUACGAGGUAAUUGCAUACUUCAUACAUGUAAGUGGAGGGUUAUAUACCCCUAUCCAUAUCGGAAAAUGUGUCUAAUAUGGGUACCUCAAGAAAGAGAAGAGUCGGAACAACAUAGGUUACUAAUGAAACAAGCAUUUCAGCCUUUUCUUACAACUAAACUAAUAAAACAAAUCGGGAGAGUAUAAAAUAUAAUUACCUCAAAGAUGACCAUAUCUUCUUAGGAGAAGCUGAAAUAUUCUUUGCAAGACAUGGAGAUUCCUGAAAAAGAAAAUUAUAAAAUGUAAGGCUUCCAUCGCAAGAAUAACCAUUAAACUCACAGAUUUUUAAGUUCAUAGUAUUAAACCUUUAACGCUGAAUCCUUCAAGCAACGAAUCCACCUUGCUGCGUCCUCUGAGCUAGUCGCGCCUAACUGUAAUGUUUCAAUAUUAGAAGAUUGCUUGCUAAUAAGUUAGGUUACUGGGACUCAAGGAUGAAUGUCAGGUAUAGACUCCAACAUGGGUAUGCUCAAUCCGUUCUAUGCUUUCCUAUGUAUUUGGUAGGUCCUUGGAGGGCCGUAUCCUCAUACCCUCAUCCAGAUAUGUUCCAGACAUGGGUGUUAGUAUAAAAAAUAAACACAGUUCACAGUAUUAGUAUAUAGACCUUAAGCUGCUCAUUAUCAACUGAAGUGCUGUAAAUGGUGAAAAUGAAGAAGACCUGCAUGAGGUGAACACUUCAUAAGCAUUAAAUAUUGACAUUGCAGCACCGAAAGGAAACAUCCAAAGUCCCGGAAAAUAAAAAAAAGGGAUUUAAUAAUCAAACCUUCUUGUUUAUGCUUGCCCUUCCAUCAUCUUUGACCCGAAUGCAUGAAUCAAUUAUAGCACUUCUAACAGGCUCCUGAAAAAAGAGAGUUUCAGAUUAUUAUACUUUGAUUCAGCUGGUGUUACAAAUUAAACGGGACUGUAAUUGGUAGAUUUCUUGCAUUUCAAUUACAGAAGACCGGUUCACUAAAAAUUUUAAAGCUCAUAACCAUAAAAGACAUCACCAAGAUUUUUAAAAACGAAAUUGCGAAUCCUACAAUAACUCUUCAAUUACAGAGCAGAGGAUUUAUUUAAAGCCUUAAGCAGAAUUUCAAAUUAAGUUAUCAAGAAACCAGACAUAUGGUAUAAAAUUGGAUUCUCUUUUUUUUUUUUUCUUCAACUACUAGAAUGGAAAUUAAUGAAACUAUUGGCUAUCAAUGUAAAAAACCAACCGCUUAAACAAAAAUGAAAUCCAGAAAACUAUAUAUACAAACAUCCACACACAUAUGUAUAAACAUGAUCAAAUCAACAUAGGGUUUAAAGUAUCACUUAAAGUUGAAAUCCAGAAAGUUAUUUAUGCAUACAUACAAACAUGCAUAUAUAAACAUGAUCAAAUGAACAUGGGGCUUAACUUAGUUGGUUUAUGCAGUCUCAAAGGUGAAUUUCGAAUCUCAGACAUCCCUAACUCAUUGCAUAUUUCUAGGUAAAAUAAAAAAAUAAAAAACAAACAAACAUGCAUUUGCCUCAUUAAAUAAAAUGCUUGUCAUCAAAACAAGAACAUGUCAUAAUACCAGCAAAAAAAGAACAUAGCAUUCUCAUUUCCAUUUUCCAAUAUGGGGUUCUUUCUUUCCAAAAACAUAUAAAAGAUCCAUAGUUCAAGUUCAAAAAAAAAUCAAAUUAAAAAAAAAAAAGAAUUAAAAGAAACAAGGGGUUUACCUCUUCUUCAGAAAUGGGGGUGGCUUUAUAGCUUUUGAGAACAUUGUUAUGAAGAAUGAAGUAACAUUUGCGAGAGAACUGUAAGCCAAUACGAUUAGAACGUAUUGUAUAUAACCAGCCUUCCAUUUUAGCUUCAUUUUGAGAAACACCCAUUACUUUAAAAUCACUCAGAAACCAAAGCUUUAUUUCUUCAACUUCAAUGAAGAACGUUUAUUGCAUGGCACUGGAUAUCAUUUAUUUAUUAAUUUGCUUUGGGUUUUGAAUGAAGAUUUUGAGGGGUUGAUCCUCUGAUCCCAGCUAAUGGAAUCAGAGAAUCAAAUUGGGGAAAACCAGUGAGGCUUUCGAAAUUUGCAGAGCAAUUUAUCCUUUCCUCCUCCUCUUUAUUUUUAAAAUUUUUGUUUCUGUUUUGUUUGUUUUAUUUUGAGUUUUUCCCUUCAAUAUUGAAACUCUGUUUUUAGAAUAUAAACAGAAGAUGACGGCUUUUAUCCCACUGAUUUUCCUGUAUUUUAUUUCCUCAUAAUCAUUAGAUUUUGACAUAUUAACACUAAUUAUAUAACUAAUUAAAUACAUAUAUAUAUAUUUAUAAAAACAACUAAUUAAAAAUAUUUUAAAAUUAAUAGAAAAUCGGUUUAAACUUUUAAAUAGCAAACCUGAUAAUUUUUAGUAGUUAAUUUUGUAUAUUCAUAUAAAUUUAAUUAUUUUUACUUUUAAUAAAAUAUAUAAUUAAUGGAAAAUAUAUAAAUAUUUAAAAUAUAAACAUGUUAUACCAACAAGUGGUUCGAUUAUACUUUUACGGGGACAAUAGAGGUUUAAAUCUUAAAGAUGACAUUGUUGAAAAAGACAAUCGUAAACUCCGAAUAUAGAUCGUAAAACAGAUCGAAACAUAUCAAUAUAUAUUUUAUUAUUCAAUCUUUAUUGUUUUAAUCUCUAAAAACUCAUUGUAAAUACAUUAAUUAUAUUACAAAUGCAUUAAAUAAUAUUAUUGUUUUGAGUUAUAAAAAUAAAUAAUAUGUAUAUAUAUAUUUUUAAAAUUUAUAAUAUGUAUAUUUAAGUGUUAAGUAAUAUUUUUACUUUGAUAAAAGCAUAUCUAAAGUAAUUUUUAAUAUACUGUUUUUAUAAUAUUAUUUAUAAAAUAACUACAAUUAAUUCUUAAUCCAAAUAUUGUAUUAUUAAUAUUUUAUUAUAUUUAUGGAAAAAAAUAUAAAAAGUAAAAUUUAUUUGAACAAUAUCAUUAUAGAUUCUAAUUACAUUUGUUCUUUGUGACACAAUGUUUAGAAUUACCUAUAGCCUAUUUCGAACCCAUAAAUAGGAGGAUAAUACACUUCAGCGCACAUGCAUUGGCAACAAUUUUCAUUUCAGUAGAACUAAGACUCAAUUAACAUGAAAGUGGAAAAUUAGAUUAUAUGCAUUUACUUUUAAUAAUAAAAAAAAUAUUAAUAAUGCUUCAUAAAAAAUAUUUAUUGUAUAAACACGUUUAGUUAUCUAUUUACGGAUAAAUCUCAAAAUUAUACAUGAAUUUUUAUUCGAUGUAUAAUUCGAUAUAUAAACUUUGAUUUGAUGCAAUUAUACAUAUGAAACUACAAUUGUUGUUCAAAUGUAUACAUUAAACCUUAAUUUGAAUUCAAUUAUACAUAUUUAGAGGAAUAAAUGCAUUUGUGUAUUUUAUAUUAGAUAUAUAUAAUUAUUUUGUAUUACAAAUAUGUAUACUGAAAAUAGUGUUAUAUCGAUAAUUGUAUUAGUAAUUUGUGUAAUUGAAUUAAAUUAAUAUUUCAUGUAUAAAAGUAUACAAAACCAAGGUUUAUGUAUAGCAUUGUGUCACGGGCCACGGAUUUCUAACCUCGUGACAAUUGCACGUUCAAUUAAAGUUCAUGUAUAGCAUUGUGUCAUGGGCCACAAAUUUCUAACCCCAUGACAAUCGCACAUUCAAUCAAAGUUUAUGUACAGUUUUGAUAUUUAUCCCAUAUAUUUAAGAUAUUUUUUUUAUUCAAUGAGAAAAUUGUUUAUUUAUUAAUAAUAUUUUUGUUUCGGUAACAAUUAUAUCUAAAAUAAAUUAUUAUCUUGUCUCAAUUAAUAUUAUUAAUAAAAUAAAUAUAAUUAUGAUUUUUGGUUUAAAAAUUAUAUUAAUAAUAUUUUAUCAUAUUUUCUGAAAAAAUUGUGGAAAAAAAGUAGAAUUAAAUUAUAGGUAUUAAAAUCCAUAAUAAUAAUAUUGAUUAUUAUGUAAACAUGUUGAGUUAUCUAUUCAAGAUAACUUUUUUGUUCAAUGAAUUUUUUAUUCGAUAAAAGAAUUUUUAAUUUUUUUAAUGUUGUAGAAUUAUAUAAAAAGUAAUUUUUCAUAUAUUAUUCUUAUUAAUAUUAUUAAUAAAAUAAUUAUUUUUAUUCUGUACCUUUUAGGUUAAACAUUAUAUUAAUAAUUUUUAUCAUAUUUAUUGAAAAUGAAAUGUGAAAGUAGAAAAAGAUCAAUUGAAAUCAAAUUAAUGGUUGAAAGAAUAUGUUGAUGACGUUUUGGAGAUAAAAAGUUGAAGAUUUUGGAGAUAAAAAGUUGAAGUUUACUUUUUUAUUAUUUUAAAAUUUUAAUAAGUAGUAACAUAAUAAUAUAAUCUUUUAAAGAAAUGUAAAAUUUUUAUGGUAAAAAGUUUAAAUUUAUACAUGUUCCUAAAAGGUUUAGGAUGUAGGUUCACAAAGUGAGAGUGUCUUACCGAGUCAAAUCGUGCGUGGCACAUGAUUACCUAUCAAAGGAAAUGGUGACCAUUUGCCUAUGGUAGAAUUUGAACUAAUAGAUCCUUCAAUAAGUUGGCAUUUACCUAUCAAAGGAAAUGGUGACCAUUUGCCUAUGGUAGAAUUUGAACUAAUCGAUCCUUUAAUAAGUUGGCAUUGUCCCCAUGUUAUGUUGGAGUUUGUCUCUCAACUUUGCAAAGAGCCGAAGUGUUUAAAAAGGUUGCUUGAGAUGUAGGUUCAUAAAGUUAUAGCGUUUUGUUAAGUUGGAUCGUACGGAGUGCACAAACAUCUACCAAAAGAAAUAAUGGUCAUUUGCAAGUUUGAAGUGGAGCCCCAACCUAUAAGAUAUAAGCCACUAUGGUUUGAGUUCAAACCCUAUUUUCGUCAACUCUAAACGGGCAACACUUCAAACACUUUUUUUUAGAAAAAGUCAGUCUCUCCCUAACAAUUUAAUUAUUAUAUUAAAUUAUAGUAAAAUUAAAUAAAAUAAAUUUUAAUUACUAUAUUUUUAAACAACUUGCUAAUUCCAUUUCUUUUGUUGUCUUAGAAGUAGUUAAGUAGUCGGCCUCCGUAGUGGAGUUAGCAAUACAACUCUACUUAACACUUCUCCACAUUAUGGAGCCUCCAUCUAAUACGAAAACACAAUUCGAUGUUGAUUUCCUUAAAUCCAUCAUGUUUGGAAGUUAAAAUCAGUAUAUCUGAUGAGAGUUAAGUCCCCUCAGGAAUAUAUUAGUAUAUAAUCUCUCAUUUUUUUUGUAAAUAUUUGAGUAUAUGCUUAAUUAUUUGCCAGUAUCUAUGAUCAAGACUUGUUGAUAUUGACUCACAAAUCCUACUGCAAAACAAAUAUUUGGACAUGUGCAUAACGUCGCAUACAUGAGACUUCCAACUACCAAAGUUUCAGGAAGUUUUUUCGCAUGUUCUCUUUCUUUCGCUGUCUUAAGAUAGUCAUCUAAAUAAGGAUUAAAUCCCUAUACAAAAGGAUGUGUACCCUUAUUCGAAUCGGCCAUGGCAAAACGUUCCAAUAUAUUGUCUAUUUAUGAAGCUUGUAUUAAAGUUAUCACUUUGUUUUUUUAUCCCUAAAGAUUCAAAUUCCCAGGGCAUUGUUAACUUCACCCAACUUCUUCAUGCUAAACUAUUGAAUUAGUCACAAUUUAAUCGAUGAUAACGUCUCUACAUCAUUCCCAAAAAAUAGUAUGUCAUCAACAUAAAAAAAAACUAGAAAGACCACCAUUCCCAUGUCUGAAUAGAUAGUAGUGCAAGUGUCAGACAAAGAUACUAUAGGAAAAUGAAGAAUUUGGUAACAUAGGAUAUAUAAGCGUGUUUGUUAAAGAGUUCUAUCUUUAUUUGAAUAAUCACUCAUUUUAACAAAAUUGCAACAAGGAAAAAGGCGGGCGUGUGUUAAAAGAUUCUAUUUUUUACUUGAAUAAUCACUCAUUUUUACAAAAUUGCAACAAGGAAAAAGGUUUUAGCUUGCCUAUGCUAUUUAGAUUCUUUAUUUUUCUCGAGUACUAAUGUCUAACACAUGUAUAUGGGAUAUGAACUUCAAUCUUAUCCGUGUCAAGCACAUACAUGUAUUUAACUCUACAAUGAAUGUUGCAUCAUCAAUAAGGAAUGAUAAUAAGGUUGCAAAAGGGUGUUUGGAAUGCUAGUACGUAGGCAAAGAAAGAGUAUUUGCAAAAUAGUGUUUAAAAUGAUCGUAUGCUUUAUUACAAGGUUUAUGCUAUGUACAAGAGUGGGGUGGAUUGACCCCUAUUAAUAGUGUUAAAAUAGAUGCCAAUAAUGACAAUAUAGAAUGAUCGCAAAACAAUAAGAAAAGUAAAAUAAAACACAUAGAUUUUAUUUGGAAACCCUUUCAGAAAAAAACCACAAGCAGAGAAGAAGAAAUUCACUAAUGUUGAAAACUGAAUGAUAAACAAUAAGAAAAGAAAAAUAAAACACAGAUUUUACGUGGAAACCCUUUCGGGAAAAAACCACAAGCAAAAGAGAAGAAAUUCACUAAUGUUGAAAACUGAAUGAUACAAGAGGUGUUUCAACUACAUCUAUUUAAAGGUUGAAAAGCCUUACAUAGAUCCCAUUGUUUUACUACUGUAUUUUCUUUAACAAGGGUUUGGGUCAUACAACUCUAACAAUCUCCACCUUGACACGAAUUCUCGAAUUUAGAUUGUUAUGAGUUUAGAUUAGCAUGGACUGACUUUCGAACUUGGACCUUUUUUUGAUAGCUUUAGGUGCAUAUGAGCUUGGAAUGCAACAUUGAAAAUUAUCAGGAGUGAAAUCAAACAAUUACAAGGAGGCCCGAAGAAGGACGAGUGGGCUGUGGCCCAAAACACCGACACUCUAGCCUAGAUUCGGCGCCUCAACCUCAACUAUUCGUAUGGUUAGGCACCUUAGACCGUGCUUCAGUGUGAUUAUCUUGCGAGCCCUAGCAUUGUGCUACUGAGUUGCGGCACCAAGCUUGUGCGACAUAAGAUUCCUUUGCCAUUUUGACCUAGGGCUACUGUUUUCUUUUUCAAAUAUUAAAGUCUAAGAAAGUAUUGUAGCCCUAAUUUAGGUCAAUAAACUUUAUAAAUACAAUAUUUUUUAAGAGGGUAAUAUAACUUUUGAUUGCAUUGAACUUUUAGCUUAUUGCAGACUUAUCGUUUUUGCGCUAUUAUUUUAUGGAUUGAUAAAUCCACUUUUCUAUUCAAAGAAAUUUCGAAGUUUGAUUCAGAUAGUUGUUGAGAUCUAAUUGUUCUUAAUCUUUUAUUUUUUAUUUAGUAUUUGCAUUUUUUCUUAUUUAAUUACAAAUAUUCAGGUUUAUUGAAUAUAAGGUAUGUAUUCUAUAUUGUGUAGACAUGCAAUCUAAUUUAAAUGGACUCCACUAGUGUGUGUUUGUUGGUUAGAAUUAUGUUUAUCUCGAUCUUAAUGCUAUUUUUAAGUUAAACACUAAGUGAAAAUUAUAGGAUUGCUUAUUGAUAAGAAAAAUAAUUUCAAUCGAGCCGCCCCUUGGUUAUUGAAAUAGUAAGGAGAGAUUGGUUACUAGGCCCGACAUCGACAACUAUAACUAGUUUAUUAAAGAACAUUGAAAAUAAUAUUUUCAUCAAUGAUCAAACUCAUGAAUUAAACGAUAAUUUUAGCUUUAACUACAACUUUAUCAUAUUGAUUCCCCCCCCCAACUUUUUAUUACUUUUUUUUUAAUUUGACUUUAAUUUUAAUAUUUUUUUAGACUCCAUUAAUCUUUUUUAUUUUUAAAAAAAAUAAAAUUAUCAUACUCUACUCGCUAUUGUUUAAAAAAUUAUUUUGUAAUUCUGGGUAUUGAAUUUUGGGCUUGGAUUUUACCCAUGAAUACCUAAGAUAUGAACCGACCUGGGUAUUGAAUUCUGGGCUUCUACUUUUAAAUUUAACUUGCAGUCCCUGCCCAAUCAUUCAUUCCGUCCUUUUUCUCCUUGUGUUUUCUCUCAACUCAAACUUUUUCAAAUUUUAAUUUUUAUUCCUUUUCCGAAAUCAAAGUAAUUUUCAAGCAGAUUCAGAACAUUCCCAUCUCAAGAAGGUAUGUAGAUUGAUUUCUAUACCUUUAUUUUAUUUUACUUUACUAUGUUUAAAUUUUGCCCUUCUCCUCUUUAAACUGCAAUUUUGGGUAUCAAAUUGUGUGUAGAUUGAAAAGGUUAUGCUGGAAAUUUGUUUAAUAAAUUUUCUGGAAAAAAAAACAAUCUUUUGAGAUUAGUUGAAUAAAAGAAUUUUUUUUUAAUUAUUUGGGUUUUUACUGGAAAAUAAGAAUUUAUGGUUAUUAAGCUGUAAUUUUAGUUGAGCAAAACAAUGGGUUCAAUUCAACAUUAUUAUUUAAAACAAAAAAGAAACUUAAAUUUGUUUGAAUUUGGAAAAUUUGUUAUAUUGUGUUAAUAGAUAGCGAAAAAUGUCAAACAAAAAUUCUAUAGGAAAAUGAAGAGUUCGAGCUUCAUAGGAUAUAUAUGUUUAAGGCUUCUAUCUUUUACUUGAAUAAGUCACUCAUCUGUAUAAAUUGCAAAGGGUUUUAGCUUAUCUAUGUUAUUUCGAAUCUUUAUAUUUCUUGAGUACCGGUAUCUGACACUUGGAUAUGGGAUAUGACCUUCAAUCAUAUCCAGUUUCAAGCACAUACCCGUAUCUAACUCUUAAGUAACAGACUGAUUUGCAAUGAAUAGUGCAUUUGAGUUCUUUUUGGCUAUCAGAACUCAAUAGAUAAGUAAAUAUAGCUUGAAUUCUAUUGCAACUGACAUUCUUAUACAGUUUGUUCAUGAUUUGCCGAAAAUGACAUCUGUUGAGGGAAAUACGGCUGAGCCUCGGAAAACUAGUAAUCCGGCUGCUAACACUGCUAAGAUUCAGAGUUCAUCAUCAUCAUUCCGAAGGUGGGGUAGGAAGUAUCCUUUUAUCAGAUAUGGGCUUCCAAUGAUUUCGUUGACAGUGUUUGGGGCAGUUGGCCUUGGUCAUCUCCUGCAGGGCAGGUUAGUUUCGGUACACUUGAUUUGCAAAUUGAUUUUCCAAACCAGUUUAGUGGAUGAGACCUAUGUUUCAUCUGGCAGUGAAUAUAUCUGCUGUGCAGAGAACAGCAUAUGUCAUGUUAACUUUGAGGGGCAAACCAUGUUAUGGCGUAAAUAAUUGGCUCAGUUCUGUUCACGGUGUAUUUCUCAUGAUCGGAGUUGGACCUAUGGUAUUAGGCCGUCAGUUCUGAUGGUGGUAUAUAGUUGUAAAUUUUUAAAGUUGGAGAAAAGAAUUCCAAUGACAAUAGGAUGUAAUCAUAUGAUUGGAAAUAGAAGGCUAUUUUUGCAUUCUUGUUUGACUUGAAUUAAUCUAGCACUAUAUGAUUCUUACACCCACACAUUCACUUGUAUGUACAUAUCUUUCUGCGGUUUUCAGGUAGACAACCAAAUUAGUAGUUUAAGAAAAUGUUUUAGUAUGAUUCUUGUUUGGGCUCUUUAUCGAUUGAGUGUUGAGCAUAAGGUUCAAGUUCGAUCAUCUAUUAGUUGGGUUUGGUUGAGUUUAGUUGGUCGAGUUAGAUGACCUUCUAUCUGAUUUUCUGACUGAAAAUUCGAGGGCUUGAUCGAUGUCCAUGAAAGGUGCCACUGCUUAAACUAAGAGUACUUAUCACUGCUGCAUUUUUGUCUAUCUAGAGUUCACAAGAACACUUUCGGUUUGCAUGUUCCAAUUGAAAACUGCUGAUCAUUAUGUGGACUUCUAUUUUCAAUAUGAUUAUCUGUUUCGAUCACUGUUGCAACACCUCUAAUCCAUAGUUAGUACUUAACAUCAUCAUUUCGUUCGAUCUUCUAAAAUUUUAGACUAUUUCGUAGUUCAGCAAGGAUAUAGCAAAGGUGAAAGAUGAUCAAGAAUGGGAAAUUAUCGAGACGAGGAAAGCAUUAUCAAGAACAGGACCCAUUGAUGCGUAUAAGCCAAAAAAGAUUUCAUUAGAGGAAGAAUUAAAGGUAUACAAUUUUUUUAUUCUUAUGUUAUUCAAACUUGGCUCUGAUCACCGGAUAUAUCUCCAUACCCAUGUUUAAAUGUGCAUCGAACAUGAAUAUCAAACUUAAGUACUUUGAGAAAAUGAAGACUCUUUGUGAGACGGUUUUUCUUCUGUUUUGUAGGCUUUGCAACAGAAGGUUGAUAUAGACAACUAUGACUACAAAAGAAUUCCGAAGCCAAAUGAAGGCAACUCAGGCUAGUAUAUUUUGUGCUCUCAAUCCCAAAGGUUUCUUUCAUACUUGCAGUAAUAUUAGGAUUUUAGUGCUUUUUUUUUUUUUUUAUUGUGGUCGCUGCAUCUUGAUAAAUACCCUGGUUUAAUCCAAAUCCGCUUAGAAUAUGUUGCUCAUGUUGUUAUAGAUUGUUGUGAAAACUUAAAACACAAUUUUGGUAGUUGAGAUUAAUCAUCAUAUAUUUACCACCUUGAGAUACGCAAGCUGAUUUCCAACUUACUUAAUUUGCAUCUUCUCAGUUAUCAGUCAGGAAAAAAGGUUUUCUUGUUGUUCAAGUUUACAAUCUACACCUCGGGAUGUUUUCUUGGUUUAAAUCUGAUAUACUCAAACUGUUUGGACCGAGCAGUGAACCUACAAAUGGCCUAGACAAACCCUUUGGAGUUCCCCUCGAAAGGACCUCUCAAGCAAUCCCGAGCUUCUUAGAGACAUCCUCUGAAUCAACAAUCGAGGGUUCCACACAUUAAUUGUCAUAUCAGACUUCAUUUAUUACGUCCCAUCCUAGGUGACUGAAAGCAUAUUAUAGCAUUAUUGUACCUAGAUUUAUAAUGGUAGACCACUUGGCUACUUAUCACUGACCCUCCUAUAAGAGUCAAUACAUGAUACUUAAGGAUCAAGGCUAAGAAUAUAUAAGGCCCAAAGACGAUCACCAAAAGCCAAUCCCUCCUCACCCUCCUUCCACCAUGAUCAACUUCUACUUCGAAUCUCCCUUUCUCUUACUAUCUCUAGUUAUCUAACCUGGUGACUCUUUACCUUGUACUAAACAAGAUGAAUCGUGCCUCUUUGCUAUUCACACCGCCUUGUAAAUCAAAGACAAAUAUAUCAUUUGUAAAUCAAAAGAUGGUUUCUUCUUUUAAAUGCAAAGUUAUAUAAAGAUGAUUUCUUGUUUUAAAUUCAAGGUUAUAUAUAUAUAUUUUAAAUCAAAAAUAAUUUUUUUAUAUUUUUAUUUAUUAUAUUUAUUUUAUUCAUUAUAGAAAUGAUGAAAUACAUUUCGUAAUUAUUUGCUGGAUCAUAAAAAAAUCAUUAUUUAAUCUAAUUUUAGUAAUCAAAUAUAUGGAAAAAAAGGUUAGAAACCUAAAAUUAAACAAUUACAUUCAAAUCCUAAUUUUUUUUCACCAUUUCCUACUCAAAACCACUUGUUUCUUUACACAAAAAAGAAAUCCCUUCAUGUAAGCCUAUUAAAAGCCUCUAAUCCACUUUUUUUUUCAUAAUAUUACAUCAAAAAAUAAGCCAAAAAAAAAACCAAUUAAAGAAUCAAUAAAACAGAGAUGGCCUCCAAGAAAAAUAGAACAAUAAUGGUGAUUUUAGAAAUUAGUUCAAUCCUAGAACUUGUGCGAUGUGUGAAUAAAUGCAUGACAUUUGAGUAUAUUGGUAGUGAGUUACACAAGAAGAGGAUAAAAUUCUAAUAGUAAUGCGAAUAGUGUAACUUAAACUUAAGUGAAUAUUUUUAUUUCAUUAUUUAUGAAGCAUCGAGAUAUAAAAAUAGGGAAAGGAUAGCUUUGAAUAAAUCACAAUUAAACUUGAUUAUGUUUGGAAAUCUGAAUUUAUGAUUGAUUUUUAGAGUUAUAGACUUGUAAUUAUGUUAUAUAAAUAUAAAGGUAAUGUUUACAGUUAUUUUUAAAAUUUUAUAAAUUUGAAAUAUUUGUGAAUUUGAAAUCUAUAUUUUUAUAUAUAAUUUCAAAUAUACAAUAAUAUUUAAUCUUAGAUUAAAGCUUAUUUGAUAACUCGUUGAAAAAUUUUAAAUCAGCUAAAAAUUGAAAAUUUCAGUGAUAUAAUAUUUUAAAUGCCUUCGAUAUUCCAUAAUAAAAAUUACCUUUUUAGAACUUUUUUCAAUAGAAAAAAGAGAAAAAUAAUGAAUAAAUAAAGACUAUCUAUUACUUAGUAGAAAAUACGUUAAAGUUAAAUCUAGUUAUUUUUCCUUUUAAUACUAUAUCAUCCUUUAAGAGAAUCGUAUUUACACUACAUAUUCUAUUCAGUAAAAUUUUCUCUGAAACAUAAGCCAUAAAUACAUCAAUUACAUGUGAAAAUUUAUUCUAAGCAUAAGUGUUAUUACAUUUUAGAAUGUGGAAAAAAAUUAUCCGUAAAAGUAUUAUUGAGAUUCUUGUACUAAGAAUUAAAUUAUAUUUUGUUCUUUCUAAUUAAAAAAUAAAUAAAUUAACUCAUAUACUAUUAAAUAAAGGAACAAACUGAUUUUUCCGUUCAGAGACGCCUUAAGAGUAAAACAAGUAAAGCCUUUACUUUAGGCCCUGAAUGAAUAUAUAUAUAUAUAUAUAUAUAUAUAUAUUAGUCGUAAUUAACUAUAUAAUGAAGUAUUAAAAGCCGAAAAGUCAACAUUAAUGAGGCUUAUGAAAGUAAUUUUUUAUGGAUUUCUAAUUAGAAGUUAUACAAUCCAUGCCGUUGUUAUAGUCUAAAUUUAGUAUUUCGUGAUAUGAUUUCUCUUUGCUCUAAAACUGCAUCUUUUAUUUUUUUUGGAGUAUUACAAUGAAUAUAUUCAUUAUUUUCUUCUUCAACGAAAAGAUGAAAAAUUUUACAAAAUCUUAUAUCAAGCCUAACUCUUAAAUUAUCGUCACCAACACAUUGAGAAAGUCGUAUUGAAAGUUUAAAACUAUAAGAUUUUAAGCUCCAAAAAUAAGAGAUGCUUUGUUGAAAUUAAUUGAAGUUAGUGAUGAUCCUAAAAUCAAAAGUGAAUCUAAGCUUGUUAAAUGAAUUUGUAAGGUUGUCUUAGUAUAUUAUUUUGACUAUACCAACUAUUCCAUAUUCAACGAUCUCUUUGGCAAUGUGAUCGAUGUGUUUAGUCCUCUUAAAAUGCCUACUCUAUUGUUUUAUAUUUUGUCACAAUACAAUGUAAUAACUUUUCACUAUUCCAUCUUUAACAAUCUCUUUGACAAUGUGAUCGAUGUGUUUAGUCCUCUUAAAAUGUCUACUCUAUUGUUUUAUUGUUAUCACAAUACAAUGUAAUAACUUUUCUCGUAUUAGGAAUUAUUUUGAGGUCGAAGUCAAAUGUUUCCUUAGUUGCUUCUAAAGCAACCACAUAUUUAGCUUCCAUAGUAAAAUCAACAAUACAUGUUUGCUUGACACUCCUCCAAACUAUUCACCAUAAUAAACGAUCAUAUUUUGUUAAUAUGAGCUUACCUUUGGAGGAUAAGAACUAGGUUUGCCAAUUAUCGAGCCUUUUACCUACUAAAAUCCAUACAGAUAUAUAAAAUUUUAAAUAAAAAUAUAGAUAAAUGAUACGAAUACAAUAUAAUAUUAUUUGAUAUAUCAAUGGAAUGAUAUUUUAACUUCAUAGGCGGGGUUAAAAAGUCACAUGUUCCACAGAUUAUUUCUUCUUUCUACCCUAGAUAUUAUUUUAUGGGUGAAUGCACUUAGUAGGUCCCUCUAUUAUGGAGAUCGGAUUAAGUUAACCUUUAUACUAUAAAUUGAUCAAUUUAGUCCUUGUAUUAUUACAAAAAAUCAAAUAAGGUUAAAUUUUAAUAUAGUUAACUUUUACUGUUUAAAAAAAAUAUCAUUUACUAUUUAAUAAAGGUAUAUUUUAAAAGAUUUUUAUGAUUUUAUAGAUGAAAUAUUUUGUUUGGAUUUAAAUUGCAAGUGAAAAAAAAUAAUUUUCAUGUUAUUUUUUUAAAUAGUAAAUGUUAACUUUAUUCCAAUUUGGACUUAUUUGACUUUCAAAUAGUAUAUGAAUUAAAUUGAACCAUUUAAUACUAAAUGGACUAAUUUGAUCUGAUCCAUGUAAUGGAGAGACUUCGCAGGUAUUUUAACAUUUUUUUAUGCUUAUUUUAAUAAAAAACAGACCUUUAUUUUCUUUAUAUUUUUAUUUAUUAUUUCUAUUUUAUUUAUUGUAUACUAAUGUGCUUGGACACCAUACAGUAAUUGGAUGAGGGUGCUGUAAUUAUAAGAAAUUCCAUUUCUCUAAAUGUGUUGGGUGACAGAAUAUAAUUACAUUGUAGUUUCUUAUGUCAUGUUUAAUAACAUAAAUUGUAAUUAUAAAACUACAUAACUUUAGUUUUAUAAAAAUAUUAAUUAUCAUAAAAAUGAUUAAUCAUACCAAAGAAAAAAAAUUUUCCGAACAAGUAACAAAAUUUAAAAUCAAAUCAAUGUAUGCAAUAUGUUAGUCUAAAAAAGAUAUUCGACAACACAACUUCUAAUAAAAUUAACAAGAAAAAUAAAUAUUGUAUACAAUUUUAUCUAAUUAGCCUGGCAUUUUAUAUUUGUUAGGUUAUUCUCUCUGUAACAUUAUACAUAUACUCCUUGUCAUGAUCAUUGACCAAUUAUAAUUAAUUCAUAAUAAAUACUAAUUUAAUUAAAUUUAGUAUAAUUUAUUUAUAAUAAAUACUAUUUAAUUUAGUUAAUUAUUUAAUAGGUUAAUAUUAAUGGAAAAUUAUCUCUCGCCUAUGAAUUUUUUUAGAUCAUUUAAUCAAGAUUAGUAAAAUAACAUAUAAUUAUAUUUUUAAAAAUAAAAUAUAUAAAAAUAUAUAUCCUAAAGUUAAAAUAUUAUUACUAUUAUAUAAAUAACUUCUUAAAUUUAAAUAAUGUACGGAUAUGUUUGGAAAGCCGUAUGGUAAUUAGAAUUGAGUGUAAUUCUUUGUAAUUACACGCUCCCUAUAAAUUUUUUUUUUAUAAAAUUGUAAUUGAAAUGCUUUAAUUAUACUCAAUUCAGUAGGACCUGCUAAUUACAACGAUCACUUAAACAUGUCAUACAUGUGUAAUUACAAGCUAAUUUAAAAUAUGACGCACGAAAAGGAACAGGGACCAAAUGGGAAAUUAUUCUCAACCCCAUUAAACGUGCCGUUUCCAAGAGUGACCAAAUGACCAGAGGACCAAAAAAAAAAAUUUAAGUGGUAUAAUUUUUAAAAAGGAAAAAGGUCGAAAAUAGAACCCUAUUGAAAAGCAUCUAAAAGGUGGAAGGACUAAAGCUAUAAAUAUCCCCCUAAAAAAACAUGCGGAUCCUAGGGUUGAUUCGGGUUGGGCAAUUGGGUCUUGCUUCAAAACGACGCCGUUUUGGGGCUUCUAAAGCCAGGCCAAAACGACAUCGUACCGAGGCUCUAUAUAAGUCAAAAUUUUCAGGAAAAAAAAAUCACUUCUCCUGUGUUUUAAAAAAAAAAACCUCUCCUUUCCCCCUUCUUUUUUCUCUGAACACAUCGUUGGAUCCGACCAUAGGGCCGUCAAAUGCCUGCCAUGGCCACUGGUCACUGGCGAUGGCAACAACGACCGUCGUCUCCGGUGGUCGGAGUUACAAAAAACAAGCCUUCUUAGCCUCUUUUUGACCUAGAUCUGAAGGCAAAGCCUUCUUUUCGCAAAAAUAAAAAAUCAAAAAAUCAAAAAAUCAAAAAAUCAAAAAAUCAAAAAAUCAAAAGAGAAAACUUUAGGCUCUUUCACCUAGCCGACGCGCCUUUCACGCCCUGUUCUGUCGAAGCCCAGGCCAAACCCUAAAGGGUUUUGGGGUUUUCAUUGUCAGAGAAGACCUCCGACGAUAGAGGGAGGUGAAGCGACUCAGGUAAAAUAGAUUUAUUUAUUAUACUUUUUCGAAAUAAAAAAUAAAAAUAAAAGAAUCACCUUUGUUUUUUUCUUUUGUAUUUUCUUCCUUGUAAUCAAUACAUCUCAAAUCUCUGGCUUUUAUAGCCGAUUACACAAAUAUUUUUCUUUUCUUUCUUUUGUUGUUUUUGAUUUUUUUAUCAUCUGUCUUGUUUUCUUUUCUCUUUGCAGGUGUUUGUGGUUAAUGAUGGUGGGAGUCGCACCCUUGCCAUUUCGAUGCAACGAUGGCAGGGGAGGCCAUCCUCGGGCGACGCAUCCACUGAUGUGGCCAGGAGCAACAGCGCAUAGGUGGUCUAGGGUUUUUUAGUUUUCUGAAAAGUUUAGAUCGUGGGCUUUGGGUUAGGUGAUAUAUUUUGGGCUUAGUUUGGGCUCGUAAGAUUUGUUCAUUUUUAAUUUAUCUUUUUUUUUGUUUUUUCUCUGGCCCGGACAAAAUUGACCUGUUACACAAGCAAUUACACAUAAAUACAAUUAAUAGGUGGCUUUCCAAACAUACCCUAAAUAAGGAUCACGAUUCUAGCAUCAAUUAAGAAAAUAGAGGAUAAAUCGUUAAACAAUUAAAUAGCUUUAAUUAUUGAACCCAAUAUUUGGCCGGUUGGUCAUGGGUAUUCAUCUUAUACUUCAAGUCUUGGAUUUGAGUCGUGGUGUGUGUGAAGUAGUGAUUUGCUCUAACGAAAGGUGUGUGAGUUGUAUUAAAAAAGAAGAAGAAGUAUGAUUAUAAAUUAUUUAUUAAAUCAUAAAAUCCCAUUUUUAAUCUAAUUUUGGUAACCAAAUAUAUUUGAUUAAAAAGGUUGAAGCCCUCUAAAAUUAAACAUUUUUCAUCCAAACCUCAUGUUCUUUCUCCAUUUUUUACUCAAAACCAUUGUCUUUUUACACCAAAAAUCCCUUCAUGUAAACCUAUUUAAACACUCUAAUCCAAAACAUUUUUCACAUAUUACAUCAAAAAUACCAAAAAAAAUAAUAAAAUUCAAUAUAAAAGAGAUGGCCUCCAAGAAAAAUAUGACAACAAUGGUGAUUUUUGUGAUGAUUUUAAUGGCUGGAAUUUGUUCAAGCCAAGAAAUUCUCCAUGUGUGAACAAUUGCAUGCCUGAAUGCAUGGAAGACGAAGGUUCUAACAAAGCUGACUGCUUAAAAGCUUGUGAACAGAAUUGCAAUGAGACUAAAGGAAAAGGGGUUGCAAUUGAUCUUGAGUCGAAGAAAAUUACUUAAUUGAUUUGUUUUUCCAUUUUUUAAAAUUCUUUUUGGAUUAUUAUCAGAUAAAUCAAUAGCAUUUUUUUUCCUUUUAACUUUACUAGAGGCCAAUUGAGUCUUAAAUCGAUUGACAUGUGCAUUGUUGUUAAUAUAGGAGGACGUUAGUUCGAAUAGAUUGAAGUGUAUUAUCCUCCUAUUUAUGGAUUGUAGAGCGGUUAGGAGUAGUUCUAGAUAUUAUUUUAGAAUGAGCAAAUAUGAUCAAAAUCUAUAAUAAAAUUAUUUAAAAGGAAAUGACUAGAAAAACUCGUGAAAAGUUAAAAAAUUAAAUUGCGUUUAGAUGAUAAUUAAUUAUUUAUUUUUCUUUGGAGUGAAUUAUAAUAAGGGAAGGAUAGCUAGCUUUGAAUAAAAUUUUAUUUUAUGGAAAUAAAGUAUCAUCCUUUUCUAAUUAACGUUGCGUUACGUUUGGGAAUUUGAAUUUACUAUUAGUCUUUAAAUUUAUAUAUAUAUAUAUAUAUUAUGUUUAGCCUUUAUAAAUUCUAUGAAAAAACAUAGAGAUAAUAAUUUAUUUGAUGUUUUAUUUUUUUAAAAAUUUUUUUAGUUAUGCAUUUAAUUUUUUGUCCAUUUUUAACUUUUAAAUUUUCGUUAUUUGUCAAAUCAUCUCAAAAUAGAUGAAAAUAAUUAAUGUCUAUUCACUUUGUUGAUAUGACAUAUUAUUUAAAAAAUUAUAAAAAUAUAUCAAAUUAUUUUUUAAAUAUUUUUAAUUUUUUUAAAAAAUAAUUAAUUGCUAACAUUACAUACGUGUGGAUUAUCAUGAUGCUAAAUAAAAAAAUUUAAAUUUAUUAAUUUUUCCAUCCAUUUUGGAGUGAUGUGACAAAUAAUGCAACUUAUUCAAAUUCAAAAGCUAAAAGAAACGAAAAACAUAAAUAGGAAACUAAAAUAAUUCUUUUCGUAAAUUUAAAAUGUCAAAUAAAUUAUUAUGAUAAAACAAAUAUUAUUGAUAUGAUUUCUUUCUAUUAUUAAUAAUUAAUUAAUAUUACGUUAAAUUCAACUUCAACUCAACUAAUAUAGUUGAAUAAAACCUUUAUUAUUUAAAAAAAUUAUUUUUAUAUAAUAUCAAUUUAGUAAAAUAAUAAUUUUUUAAAACUUGUGCUUUAUAUAUAUAUAGAGAUAUCAAAAUAAGCCUCUAACUUUUAAGAGAAAAGAUUGAAUGAAACUAUGAUUCCACAUCAUCCCUAUCCCUCCAAUAGAAGAAUGAGGAAUUAGGAGAAAAAAUUUUAUUUGUCAUACUCCUAUUGGAAAGUGAAAUGAAUGACGUAGAAUCACAGUUUCAUACAAUCCCUUCAGAACCUUUUGUAACAAAAAUAUAAUUAGAUUUUUUUAAUAUUUAAAUGAAUAUAUAAAGUAAACAAAUAAUAAUUUUGAUCUAACUAAUGAUGGCUUCUCGCCACUCUCUCACUAGCCUUGAGUGGCUAGGUUCUCCACUGCCGGCGGAGUUGGAGAGAGCAACCAAAAAGGUGAAACGUAAAGAUGUUUCCACGGUGUCUUGGAGAUGGUAUGGAUAGGGAGGGCACUUCAUUUAGGGAUAUUUUGAUGGCUAAGGAUGUGGGGGAAGACAAAGAGGAUACCUUUUUAGAUGAUAGUGUUUUUGGAUGGGAAAUACACUGAAAUUUGUUUUUCUGAAAGAGUAUGUACAUUCCUGGAUUGAUCAGAGCAUGGGCAAAACCCUAGUGAUCUGAUACUUGGCCGUUCGAUUGGGUAUAGGGCUUUGUUAAGAUGAAACGCUAGUUUAUGGGAAUUGAGCAAAUCUUGAUAACAGUUACUUUCUGGUGAAAUUUUCUAAGUAACAUGAUUAUGAUGAAGUUCUUUCGGGAGGACCAUGAAUGGUUUGUGGGCAUUAUUUGGUGGUACAGCCAUGGAGCCAGGAUUUUUCAACGGAAGAAACCCAACCUUGGAAAAUUCGACUCUCGGAUCUACCAAACAAGUAUUAUACUAAGGGUCUCAUUCGUUAGGAACACCACCAUGUGCAAUCUAGAACUGCAAUUGUCCUUGAUCAGUAUUGACGCCAUUACCCAGACAUGUGAAUACGGAGGCUUUACCAACAGUAUGUUACAAUUAUUGACGUUUUGGUCACACCAAAGAGAGCUGCGGGAAGAACACUGAGGAGGAGAACAAUGGGAAACCAAAUACUCAACACCUCAAUACACAUACAUAAACUGCAACAAGAGAAAUACGUACUCAAAAUGAAAAUUUUACAUCCAAACCUAUUAACACAACAUGAAAUUGUAAAACAUUUAAGAAAAAAAUAACCUUGAGAAUGAAACAAACACUUUAAAAUAAUUGAGGACAAUAGAAUGCAAAUGGCAGUAAAAUAAGUACUCACUUUUGUUUCAUGUUCAAGAAUACAAAAAUAUUAUUAUUUACGAAAAUAGUAUAAUUUUCUCCUUAAUUCCAUUUAUUGUUACAUAAACUAGUUAACUUAUGAACUCAAUUGAAUGCAGCAACAAUACACUUUUGCGAUGGAGUGUCCUGAGGGUAAUACUACAAAUGUUUUAAGGAGUAUGCAAAGUUGAAAGAGCCCUUUUCUCGGAUGGGACAAGUUGAAUAUUGAUGGUACGCGUAAACCAAUUAUAUGAUCACUUGUGGAGGAGUUAUACGGGAUUGAAACGGGAAAUGGAUUGUCAAAUUUUCUAGAUUCAUUGGUUCCUGUUCGGCAUUGGAAGCGGAACUUUGGGGUGUUGUUGAAGACCUUUAGGUUGCCUGGUGGAAUAGAUAGAGAAGAGUUAUUCUUGAAUUGAAUAAUAUUGACGUUGUUAAUAUGUUGACUGAUAGUGCUAAGGUUGGAAAGCAUAACUUGGGUCGCGAAGCUCAUAUGUACAUGAAGAAGGAAUGGGACAUAUGUACAUGAAGAAGGAAUGGGAGGUGAUGAUACAACACGUCUACAGGGAAGGCAAUAAGCUUUGUUGAUGGCUUAGCUUUGACGGCUUAGGAUCAACCAUUGCAAUGUUUCGUUUUUUUACUUUCCACCCUAUGCAAUUUUUAAUUUACUAUAUGCUGAUGCUCAUGAUUUUGUAACACCAAGAAUAAUGUCGGCUUAAUAUUUAUUUUAUUUUUUUUAAAAUAAAAAAUAUUAUCAACUCAAUCAAAGAAAAUAAAGCAUUAAAAUAGGGGAAGGGAAGAACCCAAAGCUCUCAUCAAAUUAAUUACACACUUCAAAAAUACCAAAACAACAAUUCAAUCUAUUUCUUAGAGAAAAAUUAUUAAUCUAAAUAAAAUUUAUUAAUGUUUCAAAUUAAUUUUUGUAAAAAAAAGCAAUAAAAAUAAUAACAUGUAACCUUUUUAAAAAAAAUAUCACGUUUUACCUAUUUUAAUUUUUAACAUACCCAUAAUCUAUUCCCAACUUAUAAAUAGAAGCAACAAAUUCGAACUCACAUCCUCUUAUAUUAGUAAGAGUACUCAUGCCAAUUGAACUAAUACUCAAUCAGUUCAUUAAUAAAUAAUUUUUAAUAAUAAAACAAUAUGGAAUAAUAUUAUUAAAACACAUUAUCCAAUAAUAAUAUAAAAGACACUAGAUAUUCAAAUUUAAUAUGGGCUUGAGAUAAAAUAUAAUUACUGCAAUUAAUUUAUGAUUUUAUCAUUUUUUAAAAGAAUUAAACAUAUUUUUUUUUAUUUUUGGGGUUAAAGUAUAGUUUUACCAUAUAAAAAAAUUAUAAUUUAAUAAUUUUAAGGGGGCUAAAAUAUAAUUUUUCAUUUUCGAGAGGCACAAGGCCCUUGCCUCCUCCUUUUGCAUUCACCCCUAAGAAACAUAUACCCUAGAUUCAAGUUAAUCUGACAACUUGUCGGAGAUUGAAGAAGAAAACUAUUUAUAUUUGAUUUGAAGAUUCGUUACGUUUAAAAUUAUUUAAAAAAAUUAAAUUGUAGAAGAGAAGGAGAAAAAAAAACUUUUAUUGGUACAAGCGAUGCGAACGGAAAAUGACAUACAACAACGAUAUUAACAGCUCAGUAACAUAAAUAAAAACUUUCAAAUAAUUCAAUGACUAUUUUGUAACUUUCUAAAGUUAAGUAACAAAAACAAAAAUUUAUUAAUAAUUUAAUAACCUUAAAUAUAGUUUACCCUACUUUACUUCGAAUCCAGUAAAAAAAAAUAUAGUAAAUGUAAAAAAAUAAAAGAAAAACAAUUAAGUAUUGGUUAACCGAAGCUGAAGAAAAUUCGAAACUUGCAACCAAUCCCAAACCUUAUUUUACUCCAUGAUUCACUCAAAACCACUUAAUAAAUAUAUCAACUAAAAUCCCAUAUAAAUAUUCCAAUUCUUCCCACUUAUUUUCACAUCAUUGAAAAUUAAAAAAAAAUAAAAAAUAAAUAAAAUAAAUAAAAAAUGGUUACCAAAAAAACCAUUUAUUUGGUAGUGUUAAUGAUUCUGGGUUUGAUUGUGAUUGCCCAAAGUGAUUGUGUAGAAAAUUGCUAUCCAAAGUGCGUUCAAGAUGUUCGUGAAAAUGAAGGAUGCAAACAUGCAUGUAAAAGAUUUUGCUCCGAAUAUGCUGGAAUGUUUUAAUGAUUAAGAGAUAUGUAAUUUUGUUGUACGUAACAUUAUAUUAAAAUUUAUUUUGUUAUAUAAUCUUUUUUAUUAGAGCUAUAGAAUUUUACUUAAAGAGAUUUUGUAAAGAAUAUAUAAAAGAUUUUUAUAAUUUAAAAUAAAAUUUUAGAAAGGACAUAAAAUAACAUGUAAAUGAUUUUGUAAAGAAUUUCUUGCAAUUGGUUUUUUAAUUGAUGUUUAAAUUUGAUUAUUCAAUUUAUCUUAAUUAAUGUAAAAUAAAGAAAAAUAGUUGAUACGUUACCGAUAGAAAUUUUAGACUCCAUAAAUAGGGAUAAGAGAUUAACAAGGGUUUUUAAUGGUAUUGUAAAAUAUUAAAAAGAUAGACACAUAACAAUUUUUGAAAGUUACCUGUAAAAUAUAAAAAAUAUACAGUCAAUGUACCAAAUAUUAACCCGUAAAUUAAUAUAUAAAAGAUUUUGUUCCGAAUAUGCCGGAAUGUUUUAACGAUUAAGAGAUAUGUAGUUUUGUUGUACGUAACGUUAUAUCAAAAUUUUUAUGAUUAUAUCAAUAUUAAAAUUUUUAAUAUUUUAAUUAAACAUUUUGCUAUAUGUUCUCUUGUUUUUAGAGCUGAUAGAAUUUUGCUUAAGAAAUUUUGUAAAGAAUAUAUCGAAAAAUUUUAUAAUCUAAAGUAAAAUCUUAAAAAGGAUAUAAAAUAGUAUGCAAAUGAUUUUGUAAAAAAAUUUCUUGCAAUUAUUUUUCUAAAUGAUGUUUAGAUUUGAUUAUUCGAUUCAAUUUAGUUAAUGUAAAAUAAAGGAAAUAUUUGAUACACUAUCAAUAAAGAUUUUAGACUUUACAAAAGGGUUAAAGGAUUAAUAAGGGUACAGUAAAAUAUUUAAAAAAAAAAGAUUGUUUGUGAAAUAAAAAAAUAUACCGUCACUAACCCAUAAAAUAAUAAAUAAAAUAAUUUGUAAAAAAGAGAAAAUAUGAUAGAAUUAUUCCCUCACUAAUGUUAUAGACUUGAUAAUUUGUUAUAUGUAUUUUUUUAGUGAAUAUAUUUUAGAGGUCCCUCUAUUAUAGGAACAUGAUAAAAUUAGUCCAUUUACUAUUAAAUGAUUUAGUUUAGUCCUUGUAUUAUUAAAAAAAAUCAAAUAAUGUCAAAUUUAAAUAAAGUUAAUAUUUAUUUUUUAACAAAGUUAAUAGUUUAAAGUUUUUUAUAGUUCUGUAAAUAAAAUAUUUUAUUUGUAAUUUAACUACAAUUAAAAAAAUAGUUUUGAAGAUAUUUGUUAUAUAAUAAAUAUUAAUUCUGUAACAAUUGAGACUUGUUUAAUUCUUUUUAAUAAUAUAAAAACUAAAUUGACUCAUUUAAUAAUAGAUAGACUAAUUUAGUCCCUACCAUAUGAAAGUUUUUGUAAAAGUUAAGGUGGAUAUUUUUGUAAUUGUAGUAAUAAUACUAUUAAUUCGUAUAUUUAUAUUAUCUUUUUUCUUGACAUAGUCUGCUUUAAAAUAUUUUUAUUAUAAAUGUUUACAUAUUAAUAAUUCUCAUGGUAUGUAUUUUGCACAUUUUUAUAUUUUCUUAGAAUAAUAAUUUUUUUUUUACCUUAAAAAAAUCAUUUUACCUUUUUUUUUUCUUCACACUUUUCUAGACCAGUAAAUUUCUAUCAUUUGUAAAAUUACUCAUAGCGGAAAAGUUUUAAGUUUUCUAUAAAUGGUACUAACGUGGCAUCCAAGCAUAUACAUAUUAUUCUACAUGGUAGUUAACAUGUAUUCACUGCUAAUGUGUUACUAUUUUGUCAUAUAUACUAUACUAACAAUUAAUUAAAAUUUAAUAAAUUAUUAAAACAUAAAAUAGUUAAAAUUAUUAAAUUAUAAAAAUUGAAAACUGUAAAAUUGAAAAAUUAUUGAACUUCUCAAAAAAUUAGAUGUUAUAAAAAUAAAAAAAAUACAAAUAAUAAAAUUAUUAAAAAAAUUAAAAAUUGUAAAACAAUUAGAAAAAAUAUAUAAUAAAAAAAUUAUUUAAAAAUUAUAAAUAUAAAAAAUUGAUUCAUUCAAGCCAAACCCCUUACCUCAAUAAUCGAUUCAAUUUUUUUUGUUCAAAGCAAAAGAAAUUUUGUGUGUUAAUUUUCAUAAUUUUGAUUAUUGUUUUGAACUGCCACAAGAAGUUAGAGAAAAAGUGAAAAUUCUUUCAACCAAUUAUGAGUAAUUUGAUAAACAAUAAAAAAUUAAUAAUUAAAUAAAAUAUAAAAAAUAGACUAAAAUGAUUUUUUUAUAUAAUUCAAAAUUGAUAAAGAUAUUAUAUUUUUUAUAUUAAUUAUUGUAUCUUAUUUUAAUUAUUUUAUCUAUUAAUAAUUUAACCUCAUUUUCUUGAAUGAUCUUAGACAUGAUCAUUGAAUUAUUUUUGGGAGGGAUACAUAUAUCGUCCAUUACCAAGGUUGCUUGUUCCCAAUAGUAUUACAAGACAAUUGCAAUCGGCAUUACUCGAUUAAAGUGUACCAUUCUUUUUGAAAGCUUAAGUGUAUUAUGGUCAGCCAAAUCAAAUUUAGUUCGUAAUGAAUUUAUGCAUGAUAUUAAUAUCAUACAUAAUUAUUUAAAUCUAAAUUUUAUGUUCAAUAGAUUUUUUUCUUAAAAACAUCAUUCUAAUCUAAUACUUUUAUCUAAAUCUUUUAAAGUUUCGAGCAGACUCUUAAAGUUGACCCUAUAAUAGGUCUAGUAGAGACUACUUUGUGACCUAAUGACUAUUGUAUUUUCCACAAAUUUGAACCUACAACACCAUCCUUCAAACAACCAAAUUGCAAUGUAUAUUACUCAGUAGAAUACAUGUAUAUAUUCGACACAAGUAUCCUGAAAUUUGUGUUAAUAUUUUUAAAUAUUAAGUCAUUUUCUCAUACCCAUAUUCAGAUGUAUCAAAUAUAAUAAAAAUGAAAAUCUGAAUAACAUAAAUUGCGGUAGCAUAAAAACAUUAACAUAAAUGACUCAAAAUGUUGCAAAUUUAGGUGCUCCAUCAAUGAGAGAUGAUUCUAUAACAUAAAUGACUACUGUAUUUUCCACAACUUGAACUUACAACGCCAACCUCAUCCUCUCAACGAACAAAGUGCAAUCUAGGUUACCCAAAUUCGCAGUAAAUGCUAGAUACAAGUAUAUGUCCGACAUGAGUAGUCUUACUUUUUCCUAAAUAUUUUAGAAGAUGAUACUCCCAUAUCCCUGUUAGAGUUUAUGUCGGAGUAUAUUAGUCCAACUUUUCAUUUUUCUCUAAGUAUUUGUGCCCAACACCAGUGUCUAAUGCAUAUUACUACAUACUAGAGUCAGGCAUAUAACCAUACCUAACACUCACACUCGAAUUCAAGUAACAUUGGUGUAAGACACAAAUGUCGAACAUAAUUUCUUUUAAGAAAAUGAAAUUUUGAGUAACAUAGAAUGCAGUACCAUGCAGAAUUAACAUUAACGACUCAAAAUAUUGCAAAUUCGAGUGCUCCAACAAACAUUAUAUAGAUGAAGCUUGUGCUUUAUUCUUUGAGUGCCUUUAAGAAAUAUGAAACAGAAAAUGCUUACCCACCACUUAUAGGAGGAAUAAUGGCCAAUUCAUCUUUGUCUUUAACAACAGCUGACUCGGUUGUGUAUUCUUCAUUGAGAACAAGAACAAUACACUGACGAAUCUCGUCCAAGUUAGGAAACUUUGCAACAAGCUUGUUCAGACAAUCUUGAGUAGUGCUACCAGAUGAAACCUCCAUUGAUAACUCGGUCAACCCUGUUAUAUCUCGAGCUUUGGCGAAGAACAGCACCUUUAUCUGAACGAAUGAUUCAUCUUUGACAACUGAUUGCACUGCAGGAAGAUUAUCCUCCUUAGUUUUCAUGUUAACAAUGGGACGCAGCACUUGAUUUAUCACAAAUUGAACCUGUUGAUGCUGCAAAAGAAUAAAAUUGACUUUAAACCACCAUUAGUAUUCGGGGAAAAGGAAAUUCAAAUCUUGAUCUUCAAGCACAGAUCAUAAACCAACUACCAAGCCAGAUACUGGUUCAGCAGUAAAUAUCUGUUAGGAACCUUGAUUCAUGUAAUACUAGAACAGAAUCAUAAGUACAUAAAUCAGGUGAGCACUACAUGUCAGAAAUUCAAAUUACGGGGUCGAAACACGAAUUCAGUUUCUCUGCCAUCUACAUUCAAAUCAAUAGACGAUAACAGCAUUCCGUUGGAACAGCAAAUCAGCACCAAUAAUACACCAACUAUUGAUCCAAAUAUUAAGUACAGCACCGAUAUCUACUAGAAAGCAGGAUUCAUGAAAUACUUGAACAGAACUACAAGUACAUAAUUCAGAUGAAAAAUAAAGAUCAGAAAUUUGAAUUAAUGGGUUGAAACAUGAUACUACAAGUAUAGCAAUUUCUAUUCUUUACGCAAUUUAUAUUUAAAUCUGUUAGAUCAUCGUACAUUCGUCCUAAUAUCCCUAAAGUAUUGGGAAUAAUAGCAUUUGUCUGCAUAAAGAAUCAGAUGAACAAUACAUAUCAGGGAUUUGAACUAACAAGUCGAUGGUUUUAUACAGCAAUCAGACCACAAAUCGCCCCCCAAAUAACCUAAAAUUCAGCGCAAUCCACCAAACUUACAUAAAUUUUCAAGAUUCUAGAUUAUGAACUCAUUUAGCAGGAAGGCGAUUACUGAAAACUAAAACCCGAAAUGGGUUUCUAAGGAAUUAAUCGAUUAUGCAAGGAUUCAAUUCAAAUUAGAUUGUAAAUUCAGAUUACAAAAGAGCAGUUGGGAGAUUAGAAAGAAAUCGAUACCUGGAGAGAGUCUGAAAAUUACAGGAUUCAGAAUCAGAUCGAAUAUUGAUACUUGAUAGUGUUUUUAAACAGUAAAUUAGAAAUUAAAAUGUUGACCAAUGGUCUUAGGUUUGCUGCUAACACUGGAGAACUGAUUGGUAGAGGAUAAGAGAGGAAGUUAUUUCUGAAGGGUUCGUCGAGGCUUAAAUAUGGGAUUGGUGCAGACUACAAACAUUAACGGAAACCAUUCGUCAAUUUAGUAUAGGUCAGUUAAAUUGGUUAUACAGUGGGUUUAUUUGAUUAUAUUGAUAAUAUUUUAGAAUUAAAUCCAUCAAUUUAAUCCAUUUAAUGUUUUAUAUUUUUAUAAUUAUUUAUAUUUUAUAGUAAUAUAUAAGUUGGUUAAGCCAUAUAUUUAUUUUAAAUAUAUAUUUUAUAAUAUAUUUAUUUUAAGUCGGUUCAAGACUUAUUUACGAGUUUAGUAAAAAAAUUAGAUCUAAAAAAUAGCUUAUUUAAAAUACAAGUCAAUUUUAGGCUUAAAUAUUUAAUAACCUAAUCCUAGCUUAGCUCGACCUAUUUUUUAGGUAAGUAUUAUACUAUUUUUAUAUAUUAUAUAGAUUAAAAUGCAUGAAAAUUAAAUAUAUAAUAUAUAUAAUACUACAAUGUUAAUACUAAGUAUUAAAAAAAUUUUAACCAAUAAAAAAAUGUAAAAAAUUAAUAUAUAUUAAUUAAAAAGAAUAUAAGUAAUUUUUAAAAAUUCAAAAAAUAUGAGUUUAGAGUGAAAAUUGUAUGAAAUUAUGAUUUUGCGUCAUCCUUUAUUCUUUCCAACAAGGAAAAAUCUGAGCCCUUUUGAAUGAGGAAAAAUCUGAGGUUGAAUUACAGAUUUAUAUAAUCAUUUCUCUAUGAGUUUAAGUAUUUUUAAGCAUAUUGGAGCUAAUAAACAAUUCUGAAAUAAUCAUGCAAUAAAAUCCAUAAUCUGAUCUCUCAAAUGCUAUUAAGGAAUAAAGAAAAUAGUUAUGAUUACUGGUAGUUAAUAUUAGCUGUUAGCAGUUAAUUAGUUGUUAGCACUUAGCUUGUUUAAUUCUGUAUAAAUACAGCAGCUGGUUAUUCAGCUAGAUAUGAUUGAAUCAAUUCUUCCUUCCUUCUUCUUGAAUUGUCUUUCUCAUUAUGGUAUCUGAGCCAUAAUUUUUUUUUUCUCUUUUCUCUUCUCAUGGCAACUGAAGCUGUUUCGGGUAAUGAUGAUGAGAAUCGGCAGUCGUUUAAUACUGCUGUUCAUGCAGAUGGUUCUUCACACGAUCUUGGCAAUGCUUCUUUGAGGAGGAUUCAGCAGUUUCCUAAGCAUGAUACUGUGAAACUUGGUGAGCAUAAUUUUCUUUUGUGGAAGCAACAAGUUCUGUUGAUUCUUGAAGGAUAUGGUCUGCAUGAGUUUGUUCUUGGUACUGUGAGUGUUCCUCCACAAUCAGUUGUUGAUAAGGAUGGUAAUCUUGUUCCCAAUCCUGAAUUCUUAUUUCAUAAACAGCAAGACAAGCUGUUAGCCUCUUGGUUGCUAUCUACCAUUUGUGAUGAGAUCCUGGUUCAUCUCACUGAUGCUCGGUCUAGUUUUGAUGUUUGGAAUACUGUUGUCCGUCGUUUCGUUUCGAAAUCCACUUUGACAGUCUCUACCUUGAGACACUCUUUGUAUUAUCAGAAAAAGGGCCAAUUAACUGUGAAAGAAUACUUGGCAAAGAUUAAGAGUUUGUGUGAUACUCUGACAGCUGCAGGAAAUAAUGUUUCUGAACAAGAGCAGAUUAGUAUUAUUCUUGCUGGUCUGCCUGUGGAGUUUGAGUUGAUUAGGAUUGUGGCUUCUGCAAUGAGGGUUUCCCUUGAUCUUCUUGCAGAAAUGCUCUCUGAUUGUGAAGCUCGACAACAAGAGUUAGUUUCAAACGUGUCUUUUCAGGCUAAUAUUGUUCAGCAGCGUGGUAGCACUGAUGACACCACCAGUAAAAGUGAUAGGGGGUCUCGACCAUCUUACAGAGGUAAUGGAAGAUUUUCUCGAGGCAGAGGUCGAGGAAGGAGGGAAAAGGUUGCUGCUGGACAGUUAACUGUGGGGCAUGUCCCAGCUCAGGAUCAAGUAGCAGAUAUUUUCACCAAGCCCUUGUCUGCUCCUAUGUUUACAAAAUUUCGAUCGUGUCUCAAAGUUGUUUCCAAACAAGAACCACCAGCAGAGGUCAAGUAGCCGGAGGCAUAUUAAGGAAUAAAGAAAAUAGUUAUGAUUACUGGUAGUUAAUAUUAGCUGUUAGCAGUUAAUUAGUUGUUAGCAGUUAGCUUGUUUAAUUCUGUAUAAACACAGCAGCUGGUUAUUCAGCUAGAUAUGAUUGAAUCAAUUCUUCCUUCCUUCUUCUUGAAUUCUCUUUCUCAUUAAAUGCAAUAUAUAAUGCUUCAUUUAUAUAUAUACUGAUUUUUGUCAGAUAUCGCAUUUACAAAAUGAAUAACAGUUGCUGACUUGCUGUCAACUCGAAAAAUCUCUUAAUCAAAGCUUAAUUAUGACACAAUUUCUCCUUCUUCAAUAUCAUCAUACAGAUCAUUGCCUUUGGUUUCGUCUUCCCUGUAGUCAUGUUUGAGGAACAAGCCUAGCCGAUGCAGCGGACUCGGACCCCAAAGAGAGCCUCCACGCAGAAUCAGGAGCUCCUUUUGUGUCUCCAAAUUCAAUCCCAGCUGUGUUUCUCAUCUUUUGCAAUGCAAUCCUAGCUGCUUCUCUACCUCGAUCCCGUAUUGUUUUCACAGCUUGGAUAUGAUCUUCAGUAUCCUCAUACAGAUCAGUGUCUUCCUAGUAGUCGUGUUUGAGGAACAAGCCUAGCCGAUGCAGUGGAUUCGGACCAGAAAGAGAGCCUCCACACAGAAUCAUGAGCUCCUUUUGUGUCUCCAAAUUCAAUUCAAUCCCGGCUGUGUUUCCCAUCUUUUGCAAUGCAAUCCUAGCUGCUUCUCUUUCUCGAUCCCGUAUUGUUUUCUCAGCAGCUUCGAUAGCUCGGAUAAGAUCUUGAACCUUUGCCUCCUCUUUACACAAUCUUCGUAACAACUUCUUUUCAUGUUGCUUCUUCACUCGAUCAGCCUUCUUCCGUGACAUUGGCAAGGGGAUAGUAGGAUGAGGAAAUGUUAUCAAGGCUUCACCAGAUGUCUCAUCUGUUACAGUUGCAGCAAUCUUAAGUUGAGAGAUGAGACGAGCAUUAUCCGAAGCACACUGUCGAUCAUACUCGCUUAUUGCCCUGCAUUUGUGUUGGAAAUCCGGUUAAUUGGAGGCAUCUGCAGCUGAUUUUCCACCCAUUGAUUCAUGGUCUGAUUUAGUUCACUGACACUUAAUGCUGCCACAUGAAUUGCAUUUGCAGGCUCCUUGGCUCGAUGGCAGUUCAGGGUCGCCAAUAGAUCGACUUCUACAAUUACUGGUCAUGUCUUUUCUUGCCAAUUUCCUAACAGGAUCCUGUCUCGGUUUAAGAAACUCAACCUUGUCCGAUGAAUUCAAUGGAACAGUUAGAUUUUGUGGAUUAUGAUGCCAAUAACCCUUCAAAGAUUUCCAUCUAGACUGAAGAAUGCCAUUCAGUUCUUGAUCAUCAAAUGUUUGAUGAUUCAAAAACCUGCAUGCAAUCGGAUAUUUCUUGUGAAUCAUGCAAGCGUCCAUCUUUUGCCUCUUUUUGUUCGGACCCCCGGUGGUCAUCCCUUCUCUGUAGACAGCACUUCUUGUGUGGUUUCCUUUUGCGGCAAGCUGAUGAAGAAUUCUGUUUUGGUUUUGCUAGAGAAAAUAAGAUAUUUUGUAAGUGGCGGCUAAAGAUGUGAAUGCUUAUGUUAAUCUCUCUUAAUUGACUGCAAAGUUUGCUUUUAACAGUAUAUGCUCUAAUUCUUAUCAAUUUAAAGCAAACAUAAUUUUGAAUAAGAGUAGUAAAUUAUUAUUUUUAUUUAAUAGAUUUAAAUUUAUUUUAUUUUUAAAUAUAUUAUUUUAUUGAAUAUUUUAAUAAUGAAACUGAGUUAUUAUUAUUAUUAUUAAUAUUUUAUUUGUAGAUUUUUUUAAAAAAUAUUAACCCCUUCAUUUACGUUUCAACUAACCCGAUUAAAAGUAUUUUAAAAAAAAACUAUAUUUUCCAUUUUAGUAAUUAAAAUAUCGGCGAAUGUUAAUUUUUUUAUAAGUUUAAAUUUAGAUAAUAUUUGAAUUCAAGUAUUCUAAUUAUUAUAUUUAUGGAUAAUAAUUAGUACUAUAUUUGAAUUUAUUAUUUAUUUUAUUUUAAAAUUUAUAUUUUAGUAAAUAUUUUAUUUAAUUAUAAUUCGUAAUAGUCAAAUGGUUUAGGUUUUUUUUUGUUCUUAUUUAGAUUUAAGAAAAGCAAAUCAAAGUUUAUUAUCUAUAAAAUUUAAUCAUUAUUGCAAUUUCUAAAAUAUGAUACGGAAAAUAUAUUACUAUAUAUGUAAUGUCAUGUUAGCUUGUUAUUUCUUCAUAUUACCUACUAAAAAAUAAGUUAAUGGAUUAACUGCUAUCAUUUGCGUCAAAACUAAAAUUUCAAAAUUUGAAAAAUAUAAAGACUUAAAAUGAUCAAAUUAGAGAAUAUGAACUGAAUAUACAAUUUUACACACAGUACAUGACUAGUAAUUAAAUUUAACUGUUAAUGUUUAGGUCAGGACUAAAAUUGACCAAUUCAAAAAGUAUAAGAGCUAAAAUUGACUAAUUUGAAAAAUAUAAAGACUAAAAUUUAUCAAAUUACAAUAUAAGAACUAAAUUUAUAACUCUCAAAAAAAUACAAGAACUAAUAGAAAAAAUUAUCAAUUUUAGUGUUCAUCCCUAUAUUAUACUCAAAAUUUUAUCUUUAUACUUUCUUUUUAUAUAACAAACACUUUAUAGUUUAUAAUUUGUUACCUAAAGUCUUCCUUACAUGACACAUGUCUAAGUGUUUUUUAAUAUAAUAAGAUAAUAGUUAAAUUUCAAAUUUGGUCUUUAUAAUAUGCUAAAAUUAGAUAUUUAAUUUCUAUACUUUAAUUUUUGACAUAAUUUGGUACUUUAACUUUUACAAUGUCAUUAGUUAGUCUAAAUACUUUAUUCCAAUUAAAAUGUUGAUUUGAAUUUUAAGAAUUGUUACUAUCAUUAAAAUUCUUUGUUAAAUUUAGGUCUAUUACAAUACUAUUUUUUUCACAUAACUACCAAGUAAGUAUUUUUUUUUUAAUUUCAAAAUUUAACACCAACGAAUUUAAUAGAAACAUUUUAAUGGUGUUAACAACUAGACCUAAAUUUUUAAAUUUGAAAACUAGAGAAACUAAAUUCUUAAAAAUAAAAAUUUAAAGACUAAAUUUCAAAUAUAUAAAAAAGAAUACAAUAACUUGAUGCAUAUUAUAAGUUUGUAACAUUUAAAUUUGUUACUUUAUAAUUUAACCUAAAAAAUCAACCCAAUGUGAAACAUGAGUAAAAAUCAUACUAGUUAGUGGGUGUUUGGUUCAUCGAAAAUAACAUUACGGACUAGAAUAUUACAUUUUGGAAUGAAAUUAUGAUGUUUGAAUUUUAAAAUUUUAGACAUCCAAUAAUCUAAUAUUAAAGUCAUACUAUAAUAUAGGAUGUAACAUCUUUUUUACAUAAUCUGAAAUUACGUGCAGAAUCUGAAUUUUAAGACAUUCACCCUCCUUUUCUUUUCCUUUCUGUUUCGGCCAUUACUCAAAGUAACUCCCCUAUUUCUAGUGAAACAAAAAUUUGUGAUAAUUGAUUUCAGUGGUGGUAAAACAUUUUUAUAUACGCACAACUAUCUUGCACAUCAAUUUAUAAUUUCGAUGAAACAUUCAAAAGUUGUAUAUUGACUAAAAUAGUGAGCUCUUUUUUUAUUGGACAAAUUGUUAAAAUAGUCUUUUUUUUUUUUUGUUUCAGGUUACGAUUUAAUUAUUUAUAUUCGAAAUGUUACCUUUUAGUCACUUAAAAUAUCAUGUUGUAACAUUUUAGUCAUUGAGCUGUUAAUUAUCAUUAACGGUGUAAUGGAAAGCUAGUAUGGCAUGUUAAAUCAUUAUUUCAAACGAAAAUUUUAGGUUAAAUUAUGCAAUUUGUCUUUAUAUUUUUUCAUUUUGAGCAAUUUAAUUUUUUUAUUUUAUAUUUUUUUAACUUUUUUAUUUUAUAUUUUUUAACUUUCCCUUUUUUUCUUUAUUAUCCAUUCUAUUAUGCUUCUCCCUCUAUUUUCCUCUCUUCUUCAUUUCUUUUAACGUAGUUUUUCUAUGUUUUCCAUUUGUUAAAACUAAUCCAUAAGCUCGCUUCACUCGAAAAAAAUUAAAUUGUUCAAAAAAAUAAAAAUAUAGGUACUAGUUUUAACAAAUAGAAAACAUAGAAAAACUAUGUUAAAAGAAAUGGAGAAAGGAGGAAAACAGAGGGAGAAGCAGAAGAGAAUGAAAAAUAAAUAAAAUAAAAGAAAUUUAAAAGGAAAUAAAAUAAAAAAUUAAAUUACUCAAAAUGAAAAAAUAUGGGGACCGAUUGUAUAAAUUAACCUAAAAUUUUUAUUUGAAAUGAUGAUUUAACGUGCCACGUCAGCUUACCAUUACACUAUUAACGAUAAUUAACGGCUCAGUGACUAAAAUGUUACAACGGGAUGACGUAAGUGAUUAAAACGUAAACCUGAGGUAAACAAAAGUGAUUAUUUUAAUAGUUUACCCUUUUUUUAUUUGAUUGCCAUAAUUUAGGCCGAAAAGUUGGUAUGCAUUACGUAACAACUAGUUCUUUAGUUGGUAUGAUUCUGUGCAAAAUAUAGUAAAACUUAUUUUUAAACAAUCUUACAAUUCGUCAACGUCUAAACAUUCGAAUUUUAUAUUCCAGCUAAAAGAACAGAACAAGGUAAUUUCACAUUUCACUCUUAAUAUUACAUUCUCAUAAUCUUAUUAUGAAACGUAAUCUAAGAUUCAGUGAACCAAACACCCCUUUAUAAUUAUUAUAAUUCUUUUUAAGUUCCAUCAUUUUAGUAUAGAAAGGGAGCCUACUCCCAAUUUCUACUUGUUUAAAAAAAAAAUUUUUUUAUCUACAUACUUUUCUCUCUCAUUUUGUUUUCUUGAGGUGAGCCAUUUUGAUGUCAAGCGAUGGCUUUGGGCCGUCUGCCCCGUCCCAUGCCCUUCCUUUUUAUGUUUUCUCUUCUCCUAAUGGCUAGUUGCAAACCUUAACAUUAGCAUCUGUUUGUUUUCCCUUUCUCUCCCUUCUUCCUCUUCUCUCCCUAUCACACCCGAUUAUCUUUAAGUCCCAAAAUCGAAGGAAAAUUAGGAUUAAAUUGAAUGGAUUGAUGAAUUUUCGGGUUCCAUUGGAAAUUUUAGAAAUUUUAGUGACCGAAUUGGGAUGGUUGGAUCACAAUUUUGGUUUAGUUAGUUUGGAACCAGUUAUCUCCUUAAUGGGAGACAAAACAAUUAGUAGUGAUUGGCUAUAAAGGAUUAAGGAGACUGUGCAAACUUUGGCUAUAUAUAUGUGUGUGUGGAGAAGAAAGAUUUCUCCUGAAUUUAGUUGGUAAUCUCAUUUUUAUUUGCAAUGUCUUCUUUGGGUGUUUCGAAAGAGAAGAGGAGGUUCAAGAAAGCUCUGCAUGAGAUGGUAAAUAAGGUGUUCAAAGCCUAGGAAGCCGAGAAUUCGACAAGCUGGUAAGCCCUAAGCCUCUCUGUACUCGUGGAUUAGAGGAAAGAGAAUAAAGAAUUCUCAAAAAGUUUUUGUAUAUUUAUAGAUUGUGGGUCUUAAGGUUUGAAUAUCUUCAAGUUAACCGAUAAUGGUUGUUAUGCUUAGUUGCUAGGCGAUGCAUCGUGAACUAACUAAAAAUUUGACUAAGGCAAGUGCACUUAUCAAUUAAUAGCAUAGCAACAGUGAACAAAAAUAUCGUUCCCACAAAAACUAAAAGUAUUAAUAAUUACCAUCUUUCUAUUAUUAUAUUGAAUAAUUCGAGUGAUCGAUUUAAAAACGGUGUGCCAAGCCGAGUAACUCUCUGAGUUGCCCCAUAUGCUCGUGUGUCAGGCCGUGUAUUGGAUCGUGUAACUUACUGACUUGAACCUUAAGAAAAUCCCAAAUGACACACGGUCGUGUCACCAGAUCGUGUGCCUCACACGGCUGAGUCUCACGUCUGUGUCUCAGAUCGUGUGAACCUAAAAAUUUACCUAAAACCAAGCCAUUUCAGACCAUUUCAUGCAUAAACUUUCAAACCAUUUAAGCACACUUUAAAAGGAACUUGUAAUACCCCUAACCCAUAUCUUUCGCUGGAACAGGGUUACAGAGUAUUACCGAAAUUUACAGAUCAAAUGCAGACAUUUAAUAUCUUUUAAAUUUCAUAUCAGAAACUUAUCAUAAUUAAUCAUAUUGUCCCUUUUAUGAGCCCUCGAGGCCCAAAAUAUGAAUUAGAAACAAAUCGGGACUAAACUGGGUACUCAAAGAAUUUUUCGUAAAAUAUCAAAAUUUUUCCAAGGUGCAAAGGACACACACCUGUCUAGUCAGGCCAUGUGGGCAUUCAAAAUAGAGGCACACGGCUAUGUCUCAGCCGUAUCCAAAUUAGGGUACUCUCUGACUUGGGUCACACAGCCAAGCCACACGCCCGUGUGCUAGGCCAUGUAAGCAUAUUGACUUGUAUUAAAUAGGUGCAAUGGUCACACGACCAAGCCACAAGCUCGCGUGCCAGGCCGUGUGAAAAAUUUUGAUUAUUCCUUUUUGCAAUUUAAAUGAUGUAGGGGACACAUGGCUAAAACACACGCCUAAGUGCUAGGCCGUGUGUCACACACGACUCAGUGUCUCUGCCCAUGUGGAUGAAAAUAGGUCAUUUCCAAGCCACAUUUCUCACCCAAAUUUGGCAUCAACCUAACACAAUAAUUUGCACAUUCACAAACCAUAUCAAAUCACUCAAAACAAGCCAAAAUCAUGUCUUAAACAUGACAUAUUACCACAUACAACCAAAACAUUUACAUUCCAACAUUGGCUAAUUAACCUAUACAUGCCAUUAUAACCAAAAUUAAUUUUCUAUUUAUACCGAAAUAAGCUGAUGGAUAAUGUGAGAUAUCUCUACCAAGCUUCCAAUCAAAUGAGCUUCCGAAUUACUAUAAAACAGGGACAAUGAAAUAGAGUAAGCUUUAAAAUUUAUUAAGUUCGUAUAACCUAAAAUUUAACUUACCAUUUAUCAUUUAAGGUAAGCAAACUAAAUAUACUCAAACCAAUUUGACCAAUUGCCUAACACAUAUCCUCAUCAACCAUGUUAGUCAUGUAUUUCAUAGAAAUAUCAAGAAAUAUAUAUGAGCUCAAUAAUAAUCAAAUUGUCACAUACAUAAAUUUUCCACAUCAUGUAUCCAUAUAACAUGUACAAAUCAUUUCCAUGUACUUCAGAUAUAUUCGGGUAAUAGUUCAUUUCGAAUCCAUGUUAUCUCAUAUUAGAACUUUGCCUAUUACACUUUUUAAAAUAUCGAUAGAUACACGGGUAGUACACAUACAAAACUGUAAUCCGACAAUUCAUGUAUUAUCUGUCAAUUCAUAUUUGGGAAUACUCAUCAGAGCACAUAAACGGGAAGCUCUUCUGAUCUAUAUAAUGGGAAGCAAAUGUGAGUUAUAUAACGGGAAGCUCCAAAGAUCCAUUAAUCAGGAAGCUCGUGCGAGCCAUAUAUCGGGAAGCUCCGGAGAGCCAUUAGUCGGGAAGCUCAUAAAAAAGCCUUUAAUUGGGAAGCUCCGGAGAGCCAUACUUCAGAACGCUCAUAAGAGCUGCGGUGUGUCCACAACACGUGCAUAAUCAAAACCAAUCAGGAUGCUCCAAAUAGCUAUUAACGUGAAACUCAUGAAAGCCAUAUAUCGGGUAGCUUAAGUGAGCUAAUAUCGAAAUGCUCAUGAAAGAUAAUAACGGGAUGCUCUUGCGAGCUGUGGUAUGUUUGCAACUUAUGUAGGACUACAACCAAUUUGGGAACCCUGUAUCCAUCAAAUUUUUAUUUAUUCAAACAUGACUUAAUACUUGUCGGUCAUCAUCAGAUAUGUAAUUAAUUUCAUAUACAUGGAAAUUUAUACAAAUCACACUCAACAAUAUUCAAGUUAAAACAUAUAAAUGUAUAAUUUAGUUACACAAACUUACCUCGACAAUGUUCGUGUACAUAAAAGCUACUAAUCCGUUACUUUCUCUUUUACACGAUCUAACUCCGUAUUUGAUCUAUCCGGAUCUACACGAAUGAAUUUAACAUCAAUUUUUAUUCAAUUUUAUUCAAUUCACAUCUUUAGCAAAAUUAUCAUUUUGCCCCUAUACUUUUAAUUAAUUAAGAUUUCGUCCUUAGGCUCUAAAAAUGAAAUUCAUGCAAUUUAAUCCUUAUUCCAAGCCUAGCCGAUUUUUACAUGUAACAAUAACAGCCCAUGAAUUUCAUAAAUUUUAGAAUUUUCCUUAAAUUUUCCAUCUUUUCAAUUGAGUCCUUUAAUCACAAUUUUAUCAAAAUUCUCUUUACAAAAGUUAUUUAUCUAUCAACAACCUUUCAUUUUCUACCAUAAAACUUCAUAAUUCAUACAUACGCAUCCAUGGAAAAACCUUAGUACUUUGAUAAUUUUACAAAUUAAUCCCCAAGAUAGCUAGAUUAAGCUAUUAUAAUGUCGGAAACAUUAAAAUUAUUAAAACGGGACAAGAAUACUUAUCCAAUUAAGCCAAAUAAGCUUGCUCAAAACUCAACACCAUAGCUAGGGUUUCCAUGUCUUUAAUUUUAGGAAAGAUGAUAAAUAUGAUGAUAUUUUUAUUGUUUAAUCAUUUAUCAUCUUUUCUUAUUUCAACUUUCCAAUUUAAUCCUUUUUUUAAUGAAUUUUCCAAUGAUGACUAAUCAUACUUAUCUACUAACUCCACUAAUUGGUCUAUUUGCCAUAUAAGGACCUCAAAUUUUGAAUUCCAUAGCUAUUUGAUCCCUUUAACUACUAGAAUUCAAUUUUUGCACCUUAUACAAUUUUUUCCUUUACAUCUAAUUAUACAUGUAACCGAUAAAUUUCUUUACGAAAUUUUCAUAUGAUAUUUAAAUCUUAAUGCGGACCAUGAAAUAAUAUUAAAAUAAUUAUUCUUCUGGACUCGAAUUUGUGGUCCCAAAACUACUGUUUCGAUUUCACUGAAAACGAGCUGUUACAGAAUUAAAUAUCACCCAAACACACAUCAAAAUGCCAAUUCAAGAUCCUAAUUUCAUGCAUACAAUCCUAGUCUAUUUAAGUACUAAAACAUACCUCAUUUAGCCAUUUAUAAAACAUACAAAAGAUACCAUAAAAUACCAUUAUCAAGCUAUUACAAACAUACCAAAAGAACCUUACAUACAUGCACUUUUAAGUGACCAAAAUGACAUACUUUGGUAAAACAUUGCAAACUACCCAAAGCAACAUAAACAUCAAAACAUUAACAUCCAAAUCAACAUUACAUAACAUCCUACACAUGUUAUUAUAAGCUUUGGCCACAGUACUUAAAAACUACCAAAUUGUUUGCUGGAUAGUGUGAUAGUUCUCCGACAAGCUUCCAACCAAAUUGAGCUUCCAAUAAUCUAUAAAAUAAAGGAAAACAACUACAUAAGCAAUGAAUGCUUAGUAAGCUUGUAUAAACCAAAACAUAACUUACCAUUUCACUUGCAUAAUAUAAAGCAUAAGUAAAAAAUCAACCAAAACCAUAAGCUUGGCAUAAGCCUAUAAAACAUCAUCAAAAUCACAAGUUAGUACUAUUGUAUAUGGUUCAAAUGAAUUCAUCUAUAAACAAGUAGAUUUACACAUAUAAUCUCAUCAUUUGGUUCAUAAUUCCUUUUAAUAAGCUCAUGAUAUGUUCCAUUUGAUACUUACCAUUUCGUUCCUUUUCAUACUCGUUGAACCAUCUAGAAUUACAUUGGAUACACGAGAAAGCUCAUACAAAGUGUGCCUGUACAUAUAACGUAACCUUUCCUUUAUAUCAUUGCUCACACGAGCUGUGAAAUGGGUCUGCUCACACAAGUUAUGGGUUAAAAUGUAAGCUACACAAUACUGCUCACACGAGCUGUAGAGAAUCCACAACAAAUGCAGGACUUCAGCCAUUAGUAGGACAUUCAAGACUAGCACUCGAAAUGUAACAGCCCGUUUUCAGUGAAAUUAGAACAGUGAUUUUGAGACCACAAAAUCGAAGUCAAAAAAAAUUAUUUUUAUUAUUAUUUUAUGGUCUACGGUAUGAUAGAAAUACCAUAUAAAAAUUUAGUUAAGAAAUUUUACUGUUUACAUGCUUAAUUUGAUACAAAAGACUAAAAAUGCGUAAAGUGCAAAGGUUGUGUUCUAAUAUCUAAAGGUAUUAAAUAGCUAUAGAAUUUUACAUUGGAGGUCCUUAUAUGGUAAUUAGCUAUUAAAGUUGUUAAUGGAUAUUUGUUUAAAAGUAAACAAAAGAUCCAUAUUAUUAUUAAAAAAAAAAUCCAAGCCGAUUCAUAAACAAGUGUACUAUUAUUUAUGGAAUUUCUUCUAAAUUGAAGUUAAGAAUUGCAAGGUAAACAUUUAUUUUCUUUCUAAUAAAACAAUUCCUUACAUUACUUUUCUUUUAUUUCUAAUCAAACAUUUCCUUAAUAUUGAUAAAUAUUUCCAUAUAAAUUUGCAUGUUUAUCGAUUCAUUAGAUUGUCAUUCAAUUUAUUUUUCCUUGACACUUAAAGUAUUAAAAUUGUUUCAAACAUUUAAGUCGGUUUCGAGUUUGAGUGUCGGAUAUGAGAAUGUGUCUGAUGCAAAUAGAUUUUAUUUUAAAGUUUUUUAAAUAUAUGUAAAGGACUUUGAAUAUCUUGUCCUCAUACUUUUAUACCAAAAACUAAAUUCAAAUAAAAAAAAAGUAACAUAAGAGCUGGUUCUAUAAUACAAUUCCAUGUUUUGAACAUUUUAAGCAUAUUGGAGCUAAUAAAAGAAUCUUGAAAUCAUACAAUAAGAUCCAUAAUCUGAUCUCUCAAAUGCUUCAUUUGUAUGUAUAUUGAUUUUUGUCAUAGUUUGCAUUUACAAAAUGAAAAACAAUUGUUGUCAUCUCGAAAAAUCUCUUAAUUAAAGCUUGAUUAUGACGCAAGCUCUCCUUCUUCAAUAUCAUCAUAUAUAUCAUUACCUUUGGUUUCAUCUUCUGUGUAAUCGUGUUAGAGGAACAAGCCUAGCCGAUGUAAAGGAUUCAAAGCCGAACGAAAGCCUCCACACAAAAUCAUGAGCUUUUUUUGUCUCCAAAUUCAAUUCAAUCCCAAAUGUGUUUUCCAUCUUUUGCAAUACAAUCUUAAAUGCUUCUCUUUCUCCACCCUGUAUAGUUUUUGUAGCUCAGAGAUCAUCUUUAAUAUCUUUAUAUCGAUUAGUGUCUUUCGAGUAGUAAUGUUUGAGGAAAAAACCUAACUGGUGCAGCAGAUUCAGACCAGAAAAAGAGCCUCUACAAAGAUUCUCGAGCUUCAUUUUUGUCUCUAAAUUCAAUUGAAUCCUAGCCAAGUUUUCCAUUUUUGCAAUGCAAUCCUAGUUGUGUCUCUUUCCCGAUCUUGUAUUAUUUUCUCAGCAGUUUCGAUAGCUCGGAUAAGAUCUUGAACCUUUGCCUCCUCUUUACACAAUCUUCGUUACAACUCCUAUUCAUGUUGCUUCUUCACCUAAUCAGCCUUCAUUCGUGACAUUGGGAAGGGGAUAAUAGGAUUAGGAAAUGUUAUCAAGGCUUCACCAAAUGUCUCAUCUAUUAUCGUUGUAGGAAUCUUAAGUUAAGAACUGAGACGAGCAUUAUUCAAAGCACAAUUUCGAUCAUGCUCACUAUUUACGUCGGAAAUCUGGUUUAUUAGAGGCAUUUGCAGCUGAUUUUCCACCCAUUGAUUUAUGAUCUUUUUCAUUACACUGAUACUUAAUGAUGCCACAUAAAUUGCAUUUGCAGGCUCCUUGGCUCAAUGGCAGCUCAGGGUCACCAAUAGAUCUACUUCUACGAUUACUGGUCAUGUCUUUUCUUGCUGCUUGAGUACUAUAGUGCGCUAAGAAGUUAUAAAAUAAAAGGUUAACCGACUUUAGAGAGUUGGUGUAACAUUACUUGUAGGUCCUAGGUCUUCUGUAGUGGGUGUGUUGGGCUCAUUGAGUUCCCAACAAGUUGUAUCAGAGUGGAUGGUUCAGGCAUGUCACUUGUGGAGGAAGUUUUGGUAAGCACUGGGCGCUUACGUUGGUUGGUUUGUCAUAAAGACACUACAGGGAGACUCUGCCAGUGUACAGUCAAAGGCUGUGAAGCUCAUUGGUCGAGGACCACAUUUACUUGAUGACGGGUGCCAGUCACCAUGGUAGAUCUUGCGGCAAGAGCAAUGGAAUCAAUAAACUCAAUAACCACAACUAUGGCUAUUGGCAGACUUGCAUAAAGUUCUACCUACAGGGUCAGGAUUUAUGGAAAAUAAUCACUGGUACUGACACAACUCCUCUACUGAAGGAAAAUGUUGAAGCCUUGAGAAAAUGGAACAUCAAGGUUGGAAGGAAUUUAUUUGUAUUGAAGACCAUAAUCAAUGAGGACUUAUUGGAGUAUAUUUUUGAAGAUACGACACCGAAAGCAGCCUGGGAAACUUUGGCGAAAUUAUUUUUGAAAAAGAAUGAGCACACCUUCAAUUCUUGAAAAAUGAGCUUGCAGGUAUCUCAUAAGGAAACUUAACCAUUUCUCAGUAUUUCACUAAAGUGAAAUCUAUUUUUUGUGAGAUAUCUCAAUUUGCACUGGAGGAGAAUGUAAGUGAAGUAAUGAUGAAGAGAAUUUUCAUCCAUGGCUUAAUACCUCAGUAUAAUAGGUUUAUGGUUGUUAUAAGGGGAUAGCCUACUCAACCAUCCUUAGUGAAAUUGGAAAAUCUGUUGGCUAAUCAGGAGGCAUUAGCCAAAGAGAUGAGUGGAGUAAUAACCAUAAAAGACGAAGAUGAGGCACUAUACACAUGCAAGAAGAAUGGCACAUCUCGAAGGUAAGGAGUGGGGAAGGAAAGGUGGACACAAGAAGGCAAUAUUCAUCUAAAAGAGAGAAAUAACACUUUAGGGAGAGCUCGACAUGGAAGAGAAGACUAACCCCAACAACAUGGUUUCAAUUAUGGCAAGAAGGGCCACUUUACUCGAGAGUACAGAUUCCCCAAGAGUCAGACUUUUCAAGGAAAUAUGGCCACCAUAAAAGAGGAGAAGAAAGAGGUCAUGUUAGAGGCAUCCAUCAAUGAGGAAGAAUAAGAUGCAGAAGCUGAAUUUUUUGUUGGAUUGGAUCAAGAACAGUUGAAGGAAGACAUAGAGGAAUCAACUAUUGUAGCAAACACAGAUUCAAAGAUACACUAUAUGAAAGAUUGGAUCGUCGAUUCUGGGUGCUUCAAUCAUAUGACCAGUGACAAGAAGAAGCUGCAAGACAUGGCUGAGUACAAAGGAAUGAGAGUGGUGUUGACAACCAACAAUUUAAAGUUGUCUAUUUCUUAUAUUGGGAAGACAACACUUCUAAGUUUUAGCUCUCGUUAGCUCUAACUCGAGAAGGUUUAUCUAGUCCCUGGCUUAAAGAAUAAUUUGUUGUUAGUACCUCAACUGAUAGAAACAAGAAAUUAUGUGCUCUUUGGGCCUAAAGAUGUGACUGUAUUUUGAAAAGUGAAGGUGAUUGGCACACCUAUUAUGAAAAGAAGAAGAACAGAUUCAGGUUAUGUGUUAUUUUCAGAGUCGGCAUAUGUGGACAAUACUCAGAAGAAUGUGACAACUAAUUUUCGGCAUGAGCAUCUUAAUCAUGUAAGUUACAACAAGUUGAAAAAAAAGAUGAAUAAUUACAUAUUAAGAGGACUUUCUCAAGUAUACAUUCGAAUAGAUAUAGUCUGUGCCGGAUGUCAAUUUGGCAAGGAUCACCAAUUGUCAUUCAAGGAGUCAGAGAAUCAGUUCAAGAUCCCACUAAAGCUUAUACACUCAUAUGUCUUUGGCCUAGCAAAACAAUCGUCACUUGGAGGUAUAAAGUAUAUGGUGACAUUUAUCGACAACUUCUCAAAUGAAAGAAAAGUAAAAGACUUUUAUGAAGUUCAAUGAGUUUAAGAAGAAGAUAGAGAAUGAAUUCAAUAAGAAAAUUUAGUGCCUAUGCACUGACAAUGGGAGAGAAUAUCUAUCUAUUAAGUUCACUAUCUAUCUUAAGAAACACAAGAUCAAACAAAAAUUAACUUGCCCCAAUACUCCAUAAUAAAAUAGAGUGGUAGAGCGCAAGAAUCGUCACCUUCCUGAAACUUGUCGAAGCAUGCUUCAUUCUAAGAAUGUACUAGAAAGAUUCUAGGCCAAAUGUAUGAGAAUGAAAACCUAUAUGAUUAAUAGGUUACCAUAGCUAAUCUGGGAUUCGUCUCACCGUAUGAAAUACUAUGGAAGAUCAAGCCAACUAUCUGCCAUCUCAAGGUAUUUGGCGAUGUAUGCUACGUUUUCGUGCCAAAUCACGUAAUGAAAAAAUUUGAUAAUAAGGUAAUUUGGUGUAUCUUCGUUGGCUAUGAUGGUGCACGGAAAGGUUGGAGAUAUUGUGAGCUAACCAUUAACAAGUGCCACACUUCAAGAAAUGCGGUGUUUGAUGGAGCUUCUUCAUGGUGGUCACCUCAGAAGAUCAAGCUUUCGAAAUCUCAUGCCUUAGAUGAGGUUCUAGAAGAAAAUAAAGAAGAAGGUAAAGAGAAAGCAUUAGAUCCAAGUGAAGAAAGAGAAAGCUCACUUUCUAAGGAAAAGAGUUCAUAGAAGACCGGCAUACAUCAACCUAUAUCUGAGCAGCUUCGUUUAAGACAAACGGAAGUCAAGAAGCCUACAAAAAAAAUUACAAAGAUCAACAAAGCUAAGGCAACCUAACCCAAGGUAUGCCAACACUACCCUUAUAGAUGAGUCUAUACCUAUUGAGCCAUAUACUUAUAAAGAAACUGCACAAAGCCUUGAGUGGAAAAAAGCUAUGGAAGAAGAGAUUAAGGUACAAAAAGAAAAUCAAACAUGAAACUUAGUACCAAAGCUAAAAUAUGUGAAGCCAAUAUCGUGCAAAUGGGUUUACAAUGUGAAGACUUGACCAGAUGGCUCAAUUGAAAGGUAUAAGGCUCGAUUUUUUGCUCGGGUUUUCUUUCAACAAUAUGGGUUAGAUUAUGAAGAAACAUUUAUCCCGAUGGCAAAGACCAUAACUAUCAAGUCUUACUAGAAUUGGCCGCUAGAAAGUCUUGGAAGUUGUGGCAGAUGGAUGUCAAGAAUGCUUUCUUACUUGGAGAACUUGACAAGGACAUUUACAUGGGAUAACCAAGAGGUUUCGAGAAUAAGAUCCAUUCCGAGUAUGUUUACAAACUGAAGAAAGCACUCUACAGCUUAAAGCAAACUCCAAGAGUAUGGUACAGGAAGAUCGGUGAGUUCUUAAUACAAAGUGGUUUUACAAUUGCUUCUUCAUAUUCGAGUUUAUUUGUGAAAGCAAAUCAAGGAAAACUAGUCAUAGUGCUAGUAUAUGUGGAUGACUUAAUCAUCACGGGAGAUUAUUGUGAGGAAAUCUAGCAAACAAAGGAAAAUAUUUCUAUUAGAUUUCAUAUGAAAGAACUAGGAAAACUAAAACACUUUUUUGGACUUGAAGUAGAGUGCACAAAGGAAGGAUUAUUUUUAGGCUAACAGAAAUAUGCAAAGGAUCUUCUACAGAGGUAUGGGAUGCUUGACUGCAAGCCUAUCUCCAUUCCACUGAUCCCAAUAUAAAACUACAAGUAGAUGAAGGAAAACAUUUAAAAGAUGUAAUCAUAUAUCGAAAACUGGUCAGAAGUCUUAUCUAUAUUACUCUAAGCUGACCAAACAUAACUUAUGCAAUUGGAAUGGCUAGUCGAUACAUGAGUAAUCCUAAGAAGCAUCAUCUCGAUGCAGUACGACACAUCCUAAGGUUUGUUAAAGGAACCAUUAAUUUUGGUAUUUUAUACAAGAAAACUAAAAAAUGUCUGGUGGUUGGAUAUUGUGACGUUGACUAUGCUGGAGACUAUGAUAUGUGUAACGUAUAGGUUUGUGCAAGUGUACAUAGUCAUUAUCAAUUAAUAAGUAAGUAAAAGAGUUAUUGUCUCCAUAGGGACUAUAUAUGUCAAUCAAAUAAUUGCAAAAUUAAAUAUUUACAAGUUGGUAAGAAAACACAAUAAUUUGGGGUGAUUGAUUUAAAAUUAAAUGAAUUAACUAGAUACAAAUUAACUUAAAUAAAUAUGAGAUGAUAAUGCAGUGAGAUGGUUUAGUAGUAAUUUCACAGGUUCAACAAGAAUAACAUGAAUAAGCUAGAAUAAUUACAACAUUUGACUUAAUUCAUUUUCAUCUUGUUUAAUAAUGUUUGGAAAAUAUUCCAUGGCAACUCGAUCAUUCAUUAACUAGGAAUCUUAUAUAAGUUCAACCAAAUCUUAUACCUAGAAAAAAAUGCAUAAACCAAUUUCAUGAUUUAAAUAAGGGUUUCUUAGAAUUUAUGUGAAGUAAUAGGGAUGGAUUAGGUUUGAAACAAUUUAAUCACAUAAACCUAAAGUUAUGCAAGCUAAUAAGUUCUCUUAGUCUAUUACGAACCUUUAAUUUAAUUACAUUAGGAUAUAAAUUAAGCAUGCACCUUCCAAUUAUUGUGUCCAUUAAUCGUCAUCUGAUUAGGAUCAAUCAACUAAUUCUAAUGCAUUCAAACAUAUUUUAAUACAUGAAAUACAUACAUGAUUUUAAUUAGAAGAAUGAACAACUUGAGGCUCAAACAUCAUAAACAUGAAUCAAACAGAUUCCAUCAAAUUAAUGUAAUCAUUCCAACUAAAACAAGAUUAAGCUAUCAUUGUCAAUGGAAAAACAUCAAAACAAUUUGCAAAAAUAUUAAACAACUAAGAACAAAAAUAAAGAUUAAGUAAGAAAAACUCUUUGAUGGCUUCGGCGGUUCUUGGCUUUGGCGGUUCUUCGACGACCAAUCAUGGUGGCUUCCUCCAAUUUUUGUGUUUGCUCCUUCGCAAAAUGCUCCUCAAGGUGGCCGGCCAAGAGUGGUUUUCCUAAAGGGAAAUGCUAGCUAAAUAAUAUGGCAAAUGGGAGUGAUAUGUAUGGAAGUGAGAAAGAAAAUGAAGGUAGAAAUGAGAGAGGAAUGAAUGAUGAGGGAUGCUUGAGAAGUGAAAUGAAUGUGAUAUUUAUAGUAGAGGGAGAGCUUGGAAGUUUGAUAAAAAUAGCAUAAACAUCCCUUGAAUUCCUCUCAUGCAUGGUCGGCCAUGAAUUGUGGAGAGUGGGUUGAUUUUUUCAUGAUUUCUUUUGUAACACCCCCUACCCGUAUCCGUCGCCGGAAUAGAGUACGAGGCAUUAUCGAGAAGCAUGAAACACUUACAGAUAAUUUAAAUACAUUUUCAUAACAAUUUGUUUCGAUUUCAUACUAUUUCAUAUUUAAGCUUUAUUCACCAAAGUAUUUAAGCUUUAUUCACCAAAGUAUUUGAAAUAUCAUCUUUAUGCAAAUAGCACACAUGAGGUACAUAAUUCCAUAAUUGUGAAUGAACACAUUUAUCAAACAUAUUCCAUGUUUUUAUAUAUAUAUCAUAGUUUCAUAUUUCUAUGUAUCAAUUACCAUCAUUUUCUCGUAUUUCAGACAAAUACGUAUAACAGUUCAUAAAUAUGCAAUUCAUUAACUCUUCCUACCAACCACGAUUUAAAUUGCCAAAUCACUUAUUGAGCCCAAUUUUAAUGUUCACUAAAAUCUAUCAUAUAAAUUUGGAUGUACGUAUUCAUCAAUAAAUUCCAUUCUCAUAUUUCCAUAUACAUUUACUUUCCACAUUUAUGAAUUCAAAUAGCAUAUACAUGACAUACCAAUGUAUUUCAAGUACGUUUUCAUGAUAUUUCAUUUCGAACUCAGAUUAUUUCAUACUAGAAGUUUUCUCAUUAACUCAUUUAGAAUACCAAUUCAUACGGAUAAUACACUCAAGGCGUAGAAAUAUAUAAUCACAAAUGAACUCAUUCAUCAACCAAGUUUUAUGCUCAUGUCUCAUCAACUCGUAUUUCCUUAUGUCACAUAAUUCCAUGUAAUACUUACCAAACUUCUUCAAAUUAGUGAACAUCUUACGGAAUUGAGUACUUCGUUUUCUCGAUGCCAUAGUUCAACUAUGGUUUUACACAUCUUCACAUAAUGAUGCCAUAGCCCAGCUAUGGUUUUACACAUACUCAUAUAUCGAUGCCAUAGCCCAGCUAUGGUCUUACACGAAUCACAUAUCUCACUGAUGCCAUAUCCCAGAUAUGGUCUUAUACAGUAGCAUAUAUCAUACCGAUGCCAUAUCCCAUAUAUGGUCUUAUACGGAAAUCACUUGUCACUUGUAGUCGAAGCUACCACUAUUCACUGAUCAGGUAGCCAGAGCUACCAUUUUUCACUGAUCAGGCAGCUAGAGCUACCACUUUUCACUGAUCAGGUAGCAGAAGCUACCACUUUUCACUGAUCAGGUAGCCGAAGCUACCACUUUUCACUUGUUAUUUGUCAUUGAUCAGAUAAGUGUAGCCGAAGCUAUCACUUAUCACUUGUUUCCAUGGUCCAACCAUGGUAUUUUCCUUCAAUUCAUCUUGUCACUGAACUGAAAUGCUCAAUUUGAUCAUUUAUUCAAUUUUCAUGCUUUUACAUUAUUCACGAUUUUAUCAUCAAUACAUAUGAAAUAACACAUCAUGAAAUUCAUAAAAUUAACAAAUGAUCACUAAAAUUUAGCCAUAUAAACUCAGAAGUUUGAUUUUUGUAUUAUAACGAUAAUCAUAAUUUCAUAAUAAAUAUUCGAAAUAAAUCAUUAUAUUAUUUUUAAUUCAACACUUAUCGAUUAUAAUCGGGCAUGUGAUCAAUUUAUACACGAGUCAUUUAUAUAUAUAUGUAUAUUUUCCUCCUCCUCCUCUCCAUCCACAUCCUUAGUAUAAAUAACACACUUGUGAGUAACCUUAUCCAUAAUUUUCACUAAUUACUUAUGUGAAUAUUCAAGCUAUCCACCCGUGUCAUAGUCACUAAAUUAUUUAUAUCUGAAGCUACAGAACUCCAAAUUGAGGUCACUAAUUUUCCCUAAAACUAGACUCACAUAUCUUCUUACCAUAAAAAUUCCAUAAUUUUUGGUUGGGCCAAUUAAUACAGUUUAUUCAUUGAAGUCUCCCCUGUUCUGCUGUCUGAUAGUUCCAACCCUUCUUCACUAAAAAUUAAUUAUCUCCUCGUACAAGACUCAAAUGAUGUUUCCAUUUGUUUCUCUUGAAAAUAGACUCAUUCAGGAUUCUAAAAAUAUAAAUUUAAGCCCAUAAUUAUUUUUAUCCAAUUUUUUAUGAUUUUACAAAGUCAGAACAGGGGAACCCAAAAUCAUUCUGACCUUGUCUCACAAAAUUCAUCAUAUCUCAUGAUUUACAAUCUCAUUGCUUACAUAAUUUCUUCUAUAAGAAACUAAACUCAAUAAGCUUUAAUUUCAUAUUUUAUUCAUCCUCUAAUUCCAUUUCUACAAUUUUUGGUGAUUUUUCAAAGUUAGACUACUGCUGCUGUCCAAAACAGUUUUAGUGCAAAAUGUUGAUUUCCAUUAUACCCCAAAUUUCACAAUUCAUACAAUUCAGUCCUUGCUCAAUUAACCCCUCAAUUAAGAUAAUUUUAUCAAUUAAUACUUUUCCUAGACAUUAUAAGUUAUUUCAUAAAUUUUGAAAUUCAUAAUUUCCACAUAAAACUCUAACUUCAAACUCUUUUACAAUUAGGUCCCAAACAUUCACUUUCUAUUCAAUUCUUUCAAAAAAAAUCAGCAUAUAAACAAUUUGAAGCUCUAAUUCCAUGCCAAAUCAUCAUAUGCUUCCAGCACAUAUUCAUAGCAACUUUCAAUUUCUUUCAUAGAAUCAAAAACUAAUGAAUUCAACAAGUGGACCUAGUUGUAAAAGUCAUAAAAACACAAAAAUUUCAAGAAAUAAUCAAGAAUUGAACUUACUUGAAGUAAAAAAUAUGAAAAACCAGCUUAAGGUAACUCUUCCAUGGCGUUUUUGCUGAUGAUAAUGCAGAAAAAUAAAGAGAAAUCUAGAUAAUUCCACUUUAGUCCUAGCUUUAUUAAGUAAAUUUUGCAAUUUUCCAAUUUUGCCCUUAAUUCUCCUUAUUUUCUUGCUGAUUUCAUGCUCUUGCCGUCCAGCCCAAAUAUACCUUGGGUCUAUUUUCCUUUUAAACCCUCUUUCUUUUAUCAUUUAAGCUAUUUAAUCAUUUCCCACAAUUUUGCAUUUCAUACAAUUUAGUCCUUUUUGUUCAAUUAACUAUCAGAACUUUAAAAUUUCUUGACGAAACUUUAAUACUAACUUAUUAACACUCAUAAAUAUUUAUAAAAAUAUUUAUGGCUCGAUUUAAAAUUUUUGAGGUCUCGAUACCUCGUUUUCGAUUCUAAUUAUUUUAGUAUUUAUUUUUAGUACACUAUUCACUAUUUCAAAAUUUUUCCUAACUUCACAUUUAACUUAUACUCACUAAAUUAAUUAGAUUUCCUACUCAUUUUUCGGAUUUAGUGAUCUCGAAUCACUGUUCCGACACCACUGAAAAUUAGGCUGUUACAUCUUUGUUUGAUUCUUACUUGAUUUGUGGCAUGGGUUGGACAACAAUCAAAGAGACUUUUGGGCUAAUUUGUAAUUUUUUCACACAUAUAGGGAUAUUCCCCCAACUGUUCCAAAGCUGGCUUGGGCUUCUCUUUCAUGCAUUUGCCAAAUUUGGAUUUUUUCCCCUUAUUGGACAGUUUGGCAACCCAAUUUACAAGCAGAUUAAUUUUUUUCAGUAACAAUCUUUAGGCUGGGUCAAGGCAAUAUUUUUUAGCCUAAUUCUUCCUUUAGUCGUCCAUAUGAAGUAGACUAUAGCUAAUUUACAUGUGAAUUUGUUGACUCCUACAUGAAUUAAUUCAGUGGUCCAACUGCAGCAAAUUGAGUAAAUAUUAACAUGUAGCAUAAAAUAAUAAAAUGAUGUAAAAUUAAUACUAAAUUAUAUAAAAUUACAAACUUUACUAAAAUUAUGUCUAAUGUUUAAAUAUGAACUAAAAUGACUCAAUUAUCUAUCCACAUGCUCGAAAUUCGCAUAGAUUAUAAGUAAAAAGGUGUUAAAUAAACCUAUAUAAUUUAAACAUUACAAUAUGCGACGAAUGACAAUUGGGUACAUCUUCAGCCUUGGAUCAGGAGCAAUAUCAUGGUGUAGCAAGAGACAACCAACAUUGUCAUUGUCAAGCACCGAAGCAGAAUAUCGAUUGGCGGCAUCAGCAAUGCAAUAGGGUACUUGGCUGAAACAAUUUAUGGAAGAUCUUCAUCAGUUAACAAAGUAACAAGUACAGCUUCUUUGUGAUAAUUUAUCAGCCAUACAUCUAGAAGAGAAUCUAAUCUUUCAUUCAAGGACAAAAUAUAUAGAAGUACACUAUCAUUAUAUUCGUGAAAAGGUCAUUGAAUGGGAGAUCAAGAUGGUGCCAAAAAAGAUGAUGAGCAAGUUGCAGACAUAUUCACGAAGAGUUUGAGUAGACCAAAGUUUGAGAAGUUCAGAGAAGCAUUCGGUAUAAUCUAUAAAUCAUCUGUGGAAGUUUACAUUGAGGGAGAGUUUUGAAAGCCACUACAAUUUCUAGAUAAAAGCCAAACUAACCUUUAAGAGAUAGUUUCUUUGGAAUAUUAUAGAAUAUAAAAUAAAGAAAUAGGAUAUUAUCUAGAAGACUAGAUAUUAUACAUGAACAUUCUAGUUAUUAGAUAUUUGUAAAAUUAAUGGUAAGGAUGUUGACAAGUGUCAACAAUCCAAUGGCGACUAAACUCUAUAAAUAGGGGUAGGAGCUUUCAUUUUUGUAAGUGUGUGCAAUAGAGAAGUGUGCGUCAUAUUGUAAUUGUAUUAUGUAUUAAUAAAAGUGUUUUAUUCUCUUGUAAUUGUAAGUCUCACUUAAGCCUUAACCACUUAGUGCACUUAGGUUAGCUUCUAUAUAUGGUCAGCUCUGCCAUCUAAAUAAUAUAUAGUCGGCCCUGUCACUUGAGUAUUAUAGUGCACUAAGAAGUUAGAAAAUAAAAGGUUAACCGACUUUAAAGAGUUGGUGUAACAUUACUUGUACGUCCUAGGUCCUUUGUAGUGGGUGUGUUGGUCUCAUCGAGUUCUCACCAUGUUUAAAGGUUGAAAUGCUUGCCUGCAAUCGAAUAUUUCUUUAGUUCUUCGAGUAGAGCAUAGCAUUGGUGAAUCAUGCAAGCAUCCAUCUUUUGCCUCUUUUUGCUCGGACCGCCGGUGGCCACCCCUUUUCUGUAGGCAACAACAUUAUUUAAAUCACUUGGACGGUUACAUUUACACUUAAUGCACCCAUAUGAACUGCAUUUUUCGGCACCUCCACAGGUCAACGACAGACUGGAAUUGAUGUUGUAGAUUGAUCGCUAAGUCCCCCACUUCCACUUUUACUGAUCAUGCCAUUCCUUAAGUUGUUUCUUGCCAACUUUUUCACACGGUUCUAUUUUAGUUUAAGAAGCCUGAUUUUUAAUGCAUACAUGGUCAGUUUCGACUUUGGUUUAGGUGUUAGAAUAAUAAAUUAAGAUAUGAUAUAAAACUUAAGAAAUCAUAAAUCAUGAUUUGUCAUGUCAAAUCAUCAAGAUCAAAACAAGAAUAAAACUAGAUGCGGAAGCGUACCUGAAUCCAUGAAUUCCUUAAAGUUUUUUUCCAGAUCUUGGGGAUUUGAUCUUCCAAAUUAGCACACAAGAAAUUUAUAGAAUAUUUGCUCUCUCUUUCCUAAGGAUGGGAUAUUAGAAAAGUUAUCUUGUGUGUUAUUUAGGGACCAUAAGCCUAAUAUAUAUAUAACUUUGACAUAUUAGCCCUAAUUCCUAAUUAGCCCAUCAUUAAUUAGAAAUUAGUUACUAGAGUAUCUACACAUAUUUGACCAAUACUUUAUUUAAUAAUUAAAGCCAAUAAACCUUAACCAAAUUAGACCACUUUUAAUUUGGGCUAACCUAUCAUGAUAGUAAAUAAUAACAUGUAAUUACCCUUAUUAUAUAUGUGGUGUCCAUAUUUUCCAACAUUAGGAACCCUUGUGACAGCCCUAAUUUGACCCUAGUUGGAAAGUGAUUUCAGGACCACAAAACCGAGUCACAAAAAUAAUUAAUUGUAUAUUAUAUGUCUAUUAUAUGUGAAAUUGCAUGUGUGAAAAUUUCAUGCUUUGAUUUUGUCAUUUGGAUAUGGAAUUGUUAAAAAGGACUUGUGUGAUAAAACUUAAAAAUGUGAUAGGUAGAAUUUAGAGGGCCGAUUAAUGCAUGGUAUAUUACAAGGAGGACUUGCAUAAUUAAAUGGACCACUAUUAAAUUAGUGGACGGCAAUGAUGAUAGAUGAUAAGUAAUAUAUGUAUUUUGUAUUAGUAAAAUAAUAACUUAAUGGAUAUUAUAUGCAUUCCAUAUUAGUAUUAUAAUAUUUAAUGAUUUUAUAAGAGGAUAUAUAUAAAUUAAUAAAAGUAAAUAGGUGAUGAAAACAAAGUUUUCAUCCAUUCUUUCUUUCAUUUGCCGAAAUCUAAAGAACAAGGUAAAACAAAAGGCUCUUUGAUAUUCUGCCUUGGUGAAUCUAAUUGGAGGUAUGUUUGAUCUUAUUUCUUGAUAAUUUAUGUGAAAUUGAGUUAAUUGUUAAGCCCCUUUCAUAGCCUAUGACUCAAUUUUUGUUAUUGGUUUGAAGUGAUGCAUUCGGCUAUGGGUUGUUUGAGUGUCUUUGAAGGUGUUUGAUGUUUUUGGUAUUAAAUGUGAUGAUAGAUGAGUUGAGCUUAAUGAAUAAGGAUAGUUGUGGUUAGAUAGAUAGAUGGUGAUCGGCUAUUAGAGUAUAAUGCAAGAAUUGUACAUGGUAGUUUAAAAUAAGGCUUGAAUGGGAGAUAUAAUUGCCGAAUGAUCAAAUAGUUAAUGAAUUAAAUAAGUGUUUAAAAUGUUAUUCGGGUAUUGGUGUUAAGUUGUAAAAAUUCUUGUUAAUUGUUGGAAGUAUGUGUUUAUUUGUUAAAUUAGCUUAUUCCAUGGUCGAAUGUAAUAUUUGGUUAAAGAAUGGUUUAAUUGAAUAAAUAAAAGAUGAGAGCAUUCGGUGAUGGUGUUAUGUGCUAGCAUGAUAUGUAUGUGUGGUUUAGGUGAAAAAUGUUUAAAUGCUAAUUUUGUUUGAAUAAUUACCGAAUGACAUUUUGGUGAAUGAAAUGAGUGAUUGUUUGCAAAGUGAGAUUAUUGAAAGUUUGAAUUAGAUGAUUCAUAGUAAUCGGCUAAUGUGUUUAUGUGGAUAUAGAUGCCGAAUGUGGACUUAAGAAAUUAAUUGGAAAAUUUGUUGUUUAUUUAGGUGAUAGAAAGUAUGAAAUGGUCUUAUGUGAUACGUGUAUAUAAGUAGAUGGAAAUGAGGUGUCGUAUAUUUUUUGUGUAUGGGAUUAAUUGCACUUUGAUUAUAAUGUGCAUGAUUAUUACUAUGUUUAAUAUGUGUGAAAGCAGAAUAUACUCAUGAUACAAUGCUUGAUUAGUUGAUUAACAAUAAGUUAAAUUUGUUUAAUUCAAGCUCAAGAGCAUAAGGAGCCAAUUCUGGAUAAAGGGAAAGCGAAACUAGUCGAUUAGUCAAUCCAUAGUUAUUCGAUAAAAUCCAAGGUAAGUUUUAAGUGUUUAAACAUAAGUAUUAGUGAAUGUGUUAUGCUUUAUCUUAAUAAUUAAAUGUCUUGUAUUAUAUAUGCGCAUUGCCGAAUGCUACAUGCACAUGGGAUGAAAGAUGUGUAGUUGAUAUGUGUACAUUAUCAAAUGGUAAGCAUGAUAUAAAAAAAAUGCUAUGUCAUUUGUACUUAUGUGGCCGAAUGGCUAAAAUAAUACAUGGAGGUAAGUUUGUGAUAUGUUUUUAUGAUCAAAUGGUAAGUGUGAAAUGAAUGUGAGUGAGAUGAUUAUGUUAUAUGAAACUUGUUGAUUUGAUUAUCGUACGGUACUAUUCGGGCCUUCGAGCCUAGCAGGCUAUAAUGUCGGUGAGAUAAUAUCGGGCUUCGGGCCUAACAGGCUAUAAUGCCGGUGAGAUAAUAUCGGGCUUCGGGCCUAACAGGUUAUAAUGCCGGUGAGAUAAUAUCGGGCUUCGGGCCUAGCAGACGAAAUGCAGGUGAAUGAGUUCAGACUUAAAGUCUAGCAGGCUUCGUGCCGGUGAUGAAUUCGGGUUUAAAACCUAGCAGGCUUAAUGCUGGUGAUUUGAUAAAAGUCUAAGACUAUGAUACUUCAUGUUAGAACGACAAUUGAAUACAUUCAAUAUAUUAAGUUGGCCAAGUACGUAUCAUGUACUUUUAUAUGAGUUUGAUUUGACUUGAAUCAUAAGUGUAUAAUGUGAUGCAUAUGUGAAUAAGUGUUAUGACUAUAUCUAUGAUCAUGAUACAUUCGGCCAAAGUGUGAAGUUAUGUGAAAAUAUUUGAUUUACUUAUGUUUUAUGAAUUCAGAUUCAAGUGAAGUUAAUAUGCUAAAUAUGCGUUAAAUGUUUGUAUAUAUUCGACCAAAUGGCAAUAUACCUAAGGAAUGUCACUUAAGAAUUUGAUUAAUCGAUUUAUAAUUGAAUUUAAUUAUUUGCAUUGCUUAAAACUUACUAAGCUUAUGGAAGCUUACUCCGUUUGUUAUGUUUCUUUAUUUUAUAGAUCGUUGACUCCAGCCACUUGUUCGGGGAUCGUCAGCAACUCGUCACACUAUCUAUCGUUUUGGUACUAUUAUGUUUUAGAUCUAAUAUGGCAUGUAUAGAAUAGACUAUAGAUGAAUAAUAUUUUGGAGUUGUAUAUGAGCCAUGCGAAUAUGACAUCUUUUGAAUGUUUGUAUAAAGUUUAUGAAUGCAUAUAAAAGUUAAUAUUCUUAUAUCUAUGUGAUUGUACAAAUGUAGUAUUUUGGGUUAGUAGCACUUCAUAACCCAUUCCGGCGACGGAUACAGGUUAUAAGGGUGUUACAACCCUAAUAUUCAAUGCAGUCAUUAGUUAUUGAUCUCGGGGAUUUCCCUUCAAAGUUUUCCUUCUUUCCCCCAAAACUUCCACUCACUUCAUCUGCCAUUGUAAUAACAUUAGUUAAAAGAUAAUAUAUAUAUAUAUAACAUCAUAUUAUUAAAUCCUAAAUUGAAUUUAUUAGAAUUCGAAAAUGGGGUUCCUAACUCUAGUGAAAGUAUAAUAAGGGAAAUGCUAUGAUCAUCAUAACUUUCUUGCAAAUGGGGGUGUUUCCAGUUCUUCAAUUAAGCUAAAUGACUGCUUAUUUAUGAUGCAAGGCUCUUCCAUCUUUCGCCGCCUUUCCACCGGACCCUCGACGGCCACCACUUCUUAUGGUGGUUUCCGUUUCGGCAACCUGAUGAAGACUUUUGUUUUGGUUUUACAAGAGAAGACAUUUUCAUAACCUUAAAUUUUCAGAGAGUGAUUAUGGAACAAUAAGUUGGAGAUAUUGUGACUGGCGGCAAUUUAUAUUAAUCUCUUACUUUGACUUUCAAGGGUAAUUUUUUUAUUUUUCAUUUUUCUUUUAAGUUUUGAAUUACAAUAAAUGUUCUAAGUCAUAUAUAUAUUUAUCUUAAUCAAUUUAAAGCUUUAAAAGUUUAUUUUUUUAUAUUUUUCAUUUUAAUAAUUAGAAUAUUUGUGAAUGUUAAUAUUUUUUUUAAGUUUAGAUUUAGAUAAUAUUUAAAUUCGAGUAUUAUAAUUAUUAUAUUUAGGGGGUAAUAAUUAAUAUUUGGAUAUUUGAAUUUAUAAUUCAUUUUAUUUUUAAAAUAUUAUAUUUUAAUAAAUAUUUUAUUUCAUUAUAAUUUGUAAUAGUCAAAUAGUUUAGUUUUUUUCUUUUUCUGGUUUAGAUUUAAGAAAAGCAAAUCAAAGUUUAUUAUACAUAUACAGAUUAAUUGCUAUUAUCUAUAAACAAUAUAUAAAGGUAAUUACAAUGAAAUAUCUUGAGUUUUUUUUAACAUUUUAAGUUAAUUUUUAAAUUUUAUUUCCCAACUUUCUAUUUUUUUCAAUUAUAUAACAAUCAUAAAAUUUUUGUGAUUAAAUUUUACUAUUAAUUUUCGUAUUUUACGAAUAUUGUAGAUUUAGUCAUUUUACUUUAAUUUGGUCAUUUUUAAUUUUUGUACUUUUUAAAUUUUAAAAUUUUAGUCAUCAUCAAAAACUAUUAAAUUCAUUCAAUUACUAUAUAUGUAAUGUCACGUCAGCUUGUUAUUUUCACAUAUUAUUAACUAAAAAAAAGUUAAUGGAUUAACUGUGAUAAUUUGCAUCAAAACUAAAAUUUCAAAAUUUAAAAAAAUAAGGACUUAAAAUGAUCAAAUUAGAGAAUAUGAACUAAAUAUAUAAUUUUACACAUAGUACAUGACUAGUAAUUGAAUUUAACUAAACAAAUUUAACCGCUAAUGUUUAGGUUAGGACUAAAAUUGACUAAUUCUAAAAGUAUAAGGACUAAAAUUUAUCAAAUUACAAUGUAAGGACUAAAUCUACAACUUUCACAAAAAUACAAGGACUAAUAAUAUUAUUUAUCAAUUUUAAUUUUCAUCCCUAUAUUAUACUCAAAAUUUAAUCUUUAUACUUAUUUUUUUUUAUAUAACAAGCACUUUAUUUUCUAUACUUAUUUUUUUUAUAUAACAAGCACUUUAUUUUUUAUAUAAUUUAUUACCUAAAGUCUUUCUUAUGUCUAUUAGUUAAAUAUUCGGUUUAUGUAAACACAAUAUUGAAUAUAAAUAUUAGAAUUCGUUAACUCAAUUUAAUUUGACUCGAAAUUUUUUUAUUCACUAUUCGAUUUGAUUCGACUCGAUAAAGUAUUUAUAUAAUAGGGAUAUGACCUAUAACCUACUCUUGUUGAUGUUAUAGUAAUUGAGAUACAUUUCCUUUUACCAAUCGAAUUUAAAUAUAAAAGUCAACAUUUUGAAUAAUAAGUAAUCGAACAACCCAAAAUUGUGGAAUAAUGAUGACGAUGAAGAUCAUCGUGGUAAUAAUAAUUGGUAGAAAGGGACAUUUUGGUAAAUUCAGAUAGAAUAUUCCAAAAUCAUAAUCAUCAUCGGACCGCUUCCCAACGCCAUCACCUCCCAACUAUUCUCUCAUUCUCUCAUUCAUCUUUCCUCCACCUUCCGCAAUGUCCGCAACCGCCGCUCGCCUCCGCCGCGUCGCCGCCGUUGCUACAGCGGCAGUAGCUGUUACUGCCUGCGGUGGCUCUGUUCUCUUACCUCCGUCUGUUUCUUCCAAUGACCGUGGCGUUGGCCCCGUCGUAGAGUCCACGAGGCGGACGAUCAGUGAUCCAAACGCCAUUGUUCCUUCCAGAAGUGUCCAAGAAUCGACUCUGAUCGGUGCCAGCUCGACUAGUCCACUCGACAUCCUGGUCGUAGGAGGCGGUGCCACCGGCUGCGGCGUUGCUCUGGACGCUGCCACUAGAGGCCUCCGUGUCGGCCUUGUUGAGCGAGAGGAUUUCUCUUCCGGAACGUCUUCUCGGUCUACGAAGCUAAUUCAUGGAGGUAAGCAUAUAUGGUUAAUUUGUCUGUUUGAUAUAUAUUUUCACUGUUUUAAUGGAAACGUAAGUUAAUUAAAUUUAAAAAAAGUGAAAGAACUUCAAGUUGAUUUGCGUGAUUAUAUAUGCAUUUUCUUGGCUACUUGUUUGAUUGCUGAUUUUAACAUUAGAAGGGGCUAAAUUCAAAUAAUGAGUGCAUUGAUUCGAAAUUUUAGAAAGAGAAAAGGCUAAAAUUUUAGGAACUUGCUCCAUGAGAAGAAGAUAUUAAGGUCUUUGCUGCUUUGGGAUCUAGCAAUAUAGCUCUUGACUUUUUAAUUUUUAUUUUUUACUUAGAUAGCAAAGAGUUAAACACAUAAGGACAUCAAAUAAUCCUUAUAAAAUUUUAUAUCCAAUAUUUUGGUAUCAUAUAUUAUUUCCGAAAAGUAUUGCAUCAUUGUAUUAAUUUGUUAAUACACGGGUUUUCUUUGGAAUUUUGAAGUGGUUUCUGCAGCUUGUCUUUUGAUUAAGGUUAAAAGUUUCAAGUCUGGAAAAUCUUUGUUGUGAAUCAUAUAAAGUGUUUGACGGAUAGCAAUUGAUGCUACAAUUUUAGUUGCCGCCUUUUGGCCGAACAAAACUAAAUUGUAUUCCUUAAAAUAGGUAUAUGAAGCUAAUUCCAAUUCUUCUUCAUAUGCUUGUUUCAGCUUUUAAGCUAAUGCAUUUGUUAAAUUCGGUUAGGGGUCCGAUACUUGGAGAAAGCUGUCUUUAACCUUGACUACGGGCAAUUGAAGCUGGUUUUCCAUGCACUUGAGGAGCGUAAACAGGUUAUUGAGAAUGCGCCUCAUCUCUGCCAUGCCUUGCCAUGCAUGACACCUUGUUUUAACUGGUUUGAGGUAGUAUACUACUGGAUGGGCUUGAAAAUGUACGAUUUGGUCGCAGGACGCCAUAUAUUACAUUUGUCCAGAUAUUAUUCAGUGCAAGAAUCUAUUGAGCUCUUCCCUACUCUUGCAAGAAAGGGUAAAGAUAAAAGCUUGAGGGGCACAGUUGUGUACUAUGAUGGGCAGAUGAAUGACUCUCGCCUAAAUGUUGGAUUAGCUUGCAGUGCUGCACUUGCUGGAGCAGCAGUGCUUAACCAUGCAGAAGUUGUAUCAUUUCUUAAAGAUGAAGGUACCGAGCGGAUAAUUGGUGCAAGAAUUCGUGACAAGCUGUCAGGUACAGCGUGCAUCUCCUUUGAACAAUAAAAUAUUCAUACAAAUCAUUAACCGAUUUGAGCAUAUGACAAUUUACAUGUCUGUCUUGAUUAGUCUGUUUUCUAGGUCUUCAUCAAAUACCUCAAGUUUGCAAUGAAAGAAAAAAAAGUCCAAAGGGCUAUAAAAUUUAAUAAUUACUUGUUAAUAAUCCUGUAAGCAGUUGAUUUCUAAAUGCAGAAAGCCAUAACACUUUCUGUUGUUCUCAGACUUGACCCUGUCUUUCAGUGAUAGCAACAGAUUCACACGCAUUUUAGUUUUAUUUUUUGACAUUCACAGGUACCUUAUGUCUUGAACCUAACAAUUAAUUUCUGUCCAAGCAGCUGAUUGUGAUAUUGUAGUUGACUUGCUCUAAUUAGUUAUGACUCGAAUACAUGAUUUAGCUUUCCCUUAUGGGAUAUUGAAUUUUGAAAUAUACCAAAAUUAAGAUAGAAAAUUGUAUAGUUUGAGUGUUUAGGUUAUCCUAAUUUCUUAGAAUUGACAACAGGGAUGCUACAGAGGAGAAAUGCUUGAGAAUGAAAGUUUUCAUCGAACUUGAAAGCUUUCCAUCCAAAUUAUAUGGAGUGCUUAAUUUCUUGUUUGUAACUGAACGUUAAUAAUAUUAAAAUCUUAAAAAUGCAAGAUGCUACUGUUCUAUGGUUGGAAUUAGUAAGCAUUUUUCUUCCAGUUUACACCAUUUGUUAUUUGACUUUUACAUUCCAAAAUAAUUGAUUUCCUAGUCAAUUUAUCUUUUCAUUUUGGCUAAUCUCAUGUACUGUAAGGUUAAAGAAGUGUUAAGUAAUUCUUGAUAUUUUUAUUAAGAUGAUGAGAAGAAUAAAACAUUUGUUCGUAUGUAGGGAAAACGAUUUUGCAUGGAUAUGCGCCAAAACAUGUUUGCAACAAGACUUGCACAUUAAAAAUUUCUUUCUUCAGCAUAUCGCUGCAUACCAAUAUUGGUGUAAUUAGGUAGCUUAAGUGGUGAUCUGUUUGAUCUUUUUGUUCAUUACUAUAUAAACAGGCCAAGAAUUUGAAACCUAUGCAAAAGUUGUUGUGAAUGCGGCUGGACCAUUUUGUGACUCUGUAAGGAAAAUGGCUAACAAGGAUGCACAGGCCAUGAUUUGUCCUAGCAGUGGUGUACAUGUUGUUCUCCCUGAUUAUUAUUCACCUGAAGGAAUGGGUUUGAUUGUCCCUAAAACUAAGGAUGGACGUGUCGUCUUCAUGCUUCCAUGGUUGGGGAGAACUGUAGCUGGCACUACAGAUUCUAAUACUUCCAUCACUGCACUUCCAGAACCACAUGAGGAUGAAAUACAAUUUAUACUUGAUGCUAUAUGUGAUUAUCUUAACGUCAAGGUAUAAUCUGGAUUUGUCAAUCUUUGAUAUGUUACUUUGUCCUUCAAGUUUAUUUCUAAUUCUGUCUCAUUUUUGGGUAUAUGUUUAGUCUAGUUUUCAACUAAAAUUAUGACUUAAAACUCUUAGGUACGACGCACAGAUGUUCUUUCUGCUUGGAGUGGUAUUCGUCCAUUGGCAAUGGAUCCUACUGCAAAGAACACUGAGAGCAUCUCUCGAGAUCAUGUUGUUUGUGAGGAUUAUCCUGGUUUGGUCACAAUAACUGGUGGAAAGUGGACUACUUAUCGAAGGUAAUAUUUACUUUGGUUUUGGUAAAUUUUCCUUUUAUAUUGGUGGUUUACAGUAGAUCUGACAAUAUUAGACACAACACGAAGACAAGAUGGAUAAAUACCCAAAACACGACACGACGAAAGAAAAACAUCACGGGCAAGACAAGAUACAUGAAUCUAUUAAUAUUUAUAUAGUACAAAUUAUUAAUGUAUCAAAUUUUAUAUAAAUAUAAAAUACCUUAAAUACAAUUAUGAAUGGUAAAAUACUCGAGAAUGAUGCAGAUACACAAAUAGUUAGGUCUAGUUUACAGUAGUUCAUCAAGGCCGAAUUUAUUUUUAUUGAUAACUAAUGUUGGAGAAUUUGGAGGGUAAACUGUUGAACUACAAAUUAAUUGAUGGGCAUACUCUGUAUUCCCUUGAUAUUCGAGCACGGCAUCUUGUUCGUUUGAUCUCCUUUCUUUCCUUGUUUUCUUUUCGGUACGAACUUUCAAACUUACUAGAAUUAUUUUCAGCAUGGCAGAAGAUGCGGUUAAUGCAGCUAUCAAGUCCGGUAAGCUAAGCCCUAGGAAUGAAUGUAUAACAGGCAACCUACGGCUGGUCGGAGGAGAUGGAUGGGAAAGCUCAUCUUUUACUGUUCUUGCUCAGCAGUACGUACGCAUGAAGAAGACACAUGGUGGGAAAGUUGUUCCAGGAGUAAUGGACACAGCUAGCGCAAAGCAUUUGUCUCAUGCCUAUGGAACCUUAGCGGAACGAGUAGCCACCAUAGCUCAGGUUGGUUUGCUAUGCUCUCACAAGUCAUAAGUGUUAAUUAUUUGGCUCAGUAGUUGAUCUGUGAUCAUCUUCUCAAAUCCCAGAGUUUGAAUCCAUCCUCCCCAAAAUAAAACCUCUAUCGAUCUAACAUAGAGUGGUUUGGGAACAAUCAAAUAUGGCGAAGUUUAUCUUCUUUGUAUUCGAUUUAACAAUUUCAAAUCUGCCUUUGAAUUUCUAGAAUGAAACGCUGGGUAAGAGGCUUGCCCAUGGUUACCCAUAUCUGGAGGCCGAGGUUGCAUACUGUGCUCGAAACGAGUACUGUGAAUCUGCUAUUGAUUUCAUCGCCAGGAGAUCUCGCCUUGCUUUCCUUGACACCGAUGCAGCAGGCCGUGCAUUGCCACGAAUUAUCAAAAUACUUGCUAAGGAGCACAAUUGGGACCGGUCGAGGCAGAAGCAAGAAAUGCAGAAGGCUAGAGAAUUUUUGGAAACUUUCAAGUCUUCAAAGAAUGCACAGUUCCAUGACGGGAAACACCAGUAGUGGCUAGUGAGUAUGAUUUCCUAUCCUGUUAACGCGCGCAAAUACUUCUAAAAGUUUCUUAUACCAAAUUAACUAUAUGUUGCAGUUAACUUUGCUUUUAGGGUUUUCGACAUCGAUGAAACAGAAUUUUGAACCUCAAAAUGUUGGGUUUCCAAUGUUCAUACGGGUAUGUAUAUCAUCUUCAUUCUACUGCACAAGCGGAAUGUCAUAGCAUGAACAUACUUCGAAGGCACUCGGUUUUAUUGAUCUUGCUUUACAUUUAAUAAGUAAUAACGCAGCUUUUUCCUUAAUUAAUACAAGUGUUUAUUGUAUGACGUGAUUUGUUUAUUAUAUACUUAUUAGUUUUUUUUAAUAUUAAUCUCAUUAUAAAUUUUUAUAAUAUCUGUUUUUUUUUAAAUAAUGCCUAGAAUUACUCAUAUUAUUUUCUCAACUCUUAAAUAAUAGGAUAAUGUGUUUCAUGAUAAUACUUAAUAAAAUUAAAAUAUAAUAAAAAUUACUAUCAUAAGAAGUUUCACCUUAAUUGUUUUGAUUUUCCAUUUUAUACAUCGCAUAGGAAUGAUUUGUUCAGUGGCAGAUUUAUUUUUCUUAAAAGGGUUUAUACUUAUAAGUAUUAUAGUAACUAUAAUUAUGAAUAAUAUGUUCUAAUAAUUACAAUAAAAUUUUAAUAUGAUCAAAUUAAUAAUUGAAAUAUAUAAAUUUUGUAAUAAAUUUAUUAAACGGCCAGAUGAGUGUACGAAUUUUUAAUUUUUUAAAAUUUCGAUUGUCACAUUUCAAUCUUUUUAAGUGCUAUUUUCCAUUAUUAAUUAAUAAUAAAACAUAUUAUUUUAUUUAAAUUUAAUUAUAAUAUGUAUUAUCAAAUCUAUUUGAAUGGGUUUAAUUCAAGUUUAAUUUAGGGUUUAUUAAUAAAUUAUCUUUCCAACUAUAUAUCAAUUUUCAUAUCGACUUUUAAAGUUUUUUUAUUUAUAAUAAAUGGUAUGUAAAUCAUUGGUUUUGUUUCAAUUUAUAAAAGAAGAAAACAAUACGAUCCAAUAAAAAUGUGUGACAUACGGCAUGUUUGCACAUUGCAUAAAUUCUUAUAUAUUUUGUUUAUUUGAUUCUUAUUUUUUUAAAAUUAAAUUUAAUAAAUAAUCUUUCAAAAAGGUGAAAUUGCUUUUCUUUAAACAAUUAUUGAAACUUUAAUUUUUUAACUAUGUUAACCUGAUAUUAUUUUUUAUAUGUGCAUCAAAAAAAUAAUUUAAAAAAAUAAUAAAAAUGUUUAAAAAUUUUUAAAAAUUAAAAAGAAUUAUAAGAAAAUUUACAAAAAAAAUUUUAAAAAAAGCAUAAAGUAUAUAUGGAUUAUCAUGCAAGUUGUUUUGUUGAAAACUUUAAGGUUUUAGUUAAUAUUUUUAUUAAGAAACAAUAAUUCUACUUUUUAUGAAAGGUUGAUGGCUCUAAAUUUGACUCUUUCUGAAAAAUUGAGAGUCAAAUUUAGCCAAAAGAAAGAAUAAAGGCCAAAUAAAUAAAAAUGUAAAUGUUAAGAGUUAAAUUUGGCAUUAUACUUAUUUUAUAAAGAUAAAAUUUAUACUUGUUAUAUUCCUCCACCAAGCAAACACGUGUCAACACUAGAACCAUCGUUGACCUAUAUUAACUUCCUCUAAAAGAGCAUCCCGACAGACCUCUCAUUCACAAUACCCUUGAAUGUGACCACCCACUCUACCUCAAAAGAGUCCUCCACCCGAGCUUAAGUGUGGAUAUUAUCCUAAUGUGGACACACUUCCAAGGAAAUAAGGAACCUAUUUAAGGUAAGCUACCUUGUAUUGAUA